AUGUGAGACUCAUCUCGCUAGCCUGUCAUCCAGACCCUGGCUCAGCCGAGACUCGCCACACAUAUCCAGCUGGUGAACCGGCUCUGAUACCAAAUGUAACGACCUAGCCCACUAGCAACAAUAACUCGUUGGGCCCAACCACCGGCCCAAAAUGCUUAAGCUCAGUUAUUAUUACUAGUGUCUAAGUCUCUUAUAAACCCAAUGACAACCCCUUUCCCAUCCGAUGUGGGACUAUUGGGGUGUCACACUUAGCUUUGCAUAUUUUCUUACUGUUUGGAACAUUAUAAGUUUGUGUCCUUUAUAUGUUUGUAUGUAUUUUUUAUUUUUUACUAUACUUAUCUAUGUACUCUCAUGUAUUUGUUAUUGACAAUAGUUGGAUUUUGAAAGACAGUAAUGGCCAACGCACUAUAUAAAAUAAUCUUUUCAUCAGCAACCAUAGCCACCGUUACGAUAAUAUUAGAUGACGAUGAUGAAUCUUUAGAAAAUAUAAUGCAACUUGAACUAGAAUAUGAAUCAUUUGCAAAUAGAGUCCCCAAACAAAGGUGUCGAAUCGACUGUUUACUGGACAUCAAAUAUUGUGUGAUAUUUUGUCUGGUCAUUAUAAACGAUACUACCAUCACUUUCGUAUCAGUGCAACUACAUUUAUUGCACUCCGCGAUGCAUUAGUAGAGAGGGGGUUGAUAAGUAGCACAAGAAAUUUGACUACUGACGAGCAGUUAGCCAUAUUUCUAUUUGGCGUAGGCCAUGGCGUGGCAAACCGGAUUCUGGCGGAAACAUUCCAACAUUCCGGAGAAACCAUCAGUAGAUGAGUACAUAAUGUUGCCGUCAAGUAAUACUGCCGUGUAUCCAAGGAUUCAGGAUAAUCCAAAUUUUCAUCCUUUCAACAUAACCAUGCACGCUUGUAUAUAUAAUACAUUGGUGUAUAAAAAUAUUUUAUUACUACUAAUAUUUUUUAUUUUUUUUUCAACUAUAAAAUGCUAUUGGUGCAAUCGACGGCACACAUAUUCCAGUAAUGGUCAGAAGGAGCAAACAAGCACCAUUUCGCUGUCGAAAAGGGUUUAGCUCACAAAAUAUGAUGGCUGCCGUGUCAUUUGAUCAAAAUUUUUUAUUUAUAUGCACAGGUUGGGAAGGAUCUGCUGCAGAUAUGAGAGUACUUCGAUCGGCGUGCGAAGCAGGUGGUUUCGUUGUGUCCGAAGGUAGUGUUGCUAAUUAUUUCCCGCUCAUUAAUAUAUAUAUGAACAAUAUUACUGAUAAUUCUUAUUUACUUAACAACUGGUAAUUAUAUUAUUCGCAGGCAAGUAUUACUUAGUGGACUCAGGAUACGCAAAUACAAAUAGAUUUUUUGUACCCUAUAGAGGAGAGCGUUACCAUAUUAGUCAAUUUAACAUAACACACGGGCCCGCGUUCAUCGAAAUUCACGAGAUUUGUAUAACCACCGGCAUGCUCAAUUAAGAAAUGUGGUCAAGAGGACAUUUGGCAUUUUGAAGAAGCGUUUCAAAAUUCUCAAUGUAGCAACACCGUUUCCGUAUAAAGUUCAAUACUUGAUUGCUAUGGCAUGUUGUACACUACAUAACUUUAUUCGUCGUCAUCAAGCAAAUAAUAAUAUUUUUUCUGAGGAGCAAGAUGAACCGGAUGCUGAAAAUGAAGGUGAAGAACGCGAUUUAAUUGGAGUAAUUGAUGACUCCCAAAAUGGUGAGGAUCUCCGUGCUAAUAUUGCAAACCAAUUGUGGAGCAGUAGAACAUUAUUUUCUAUAAAUUUGAUAAUUGUAUUGCUAUUUGAUAGAACUAAGUGCAGUGGUUGUAUUGGUAUUUGACUAUUCUAAGAUGAUGAUGUAUGAGAUGCAUAUGGUUUGUAAUACUGGGUUAUUUCUGCCUUUUAUGGAACAUGUAUUAAUGUUAGAAAUUGUGAUAAAAUUUUCUUAUUUGAAUGUUGGUAGGUGGAUCAUGUUGGUAGAUGUAAAUGCUAUCUAACUCUGUUAUAUACUUGUACUCUUUCAAACAGUUUUGAUUGUAUAUGUAUUUGUUGUUGAUUAAUGUGUUGUUAUCUUUGUAACUGUUCGUUGAUGUGCAGAUUGACUUGAUAUAUUUAAAUAUUUGUGUAUUAUAUCGAAUAUCCGAAUCGUAAUGCUAAAUUUUAUCAAAUUUCGCAACGUGUCGUAUGAGAGUCAUAAGUGAAGUACAAAAGUUGGGCGUACGCGUUGUGAUGGUUAGAAGUGCUUAUCGAAAGUAAAAGUGUUAUCGGCACAAAUCGGGUUUGAAAUGGCAUAACGGUAGUCACCUCUGCUAGGGGCUAAAUUUGAAAGGUUGAAAAUUAGUGGUUUUGGAGGGUUAAAAUGCAAUUGUUCAUAAAAUAUCAAAAUAGUUCAUGAAAUUUGAACUUAAGAAAAUUUUAAAAUAGUUGUUCCUAAAUUUUAGGUAUUUUCAUAGUCAUAAAAGAGUAGUGAGAAAUAUUUGGGUACAAAAUAACGCUAAAAUUAAUUUAAUUUUAUCCUCAAAAAUAUUUGCAAUGAUAGAAUUUUAUAUUCCAAACAUAAACUUUUAUUUCAAUAGAUUAAUGUAAGGGUAUUUUUAUCUUUUUAUAUCUUUACCAACCACUAUCCUUCUUAUCCUACCUACUCCAACAAAAGACUGUUUUUCUUAAUCCUGGACUAACUCCAAUUCUCAACCAAACACAAAAAUACUCUAACCCCACCUUAACCCUGAACUUAACCCUAACCCUGGAAUAACUAGUUUUUUCUUAACCCCGAACCAAACGGUAGCUUAGGGUUUUUCCUUUCGUUCUUCUUCGCUCCUUAGGAAUUAGGGUUUCGCUUCCGCCAUGAAAGCGCAGAAAGCUUUUAGAGUAUUCUCUUACAUUCUUCUUCGCUUCUCAAGCAUUGGGGUUUUGCUUCCACCAUGCACACGCAGACAGGAAAAAAAAACACGCAUAUAACGGUUACAGUUUAAACACGCAUAUAACAGUUACAGUUUAGACAAGCAUAUAACAGUUACAGUUUCUAGCUUUUGUAGUGUUUCUGAGUUUUGGAUAGGAUUGGCUUCAGUAUUAUUGACUGGUCGACAUCUCUGGAGAGUGUCGGACUGAGUCGGAGUCAAUUAUGCACGAAUUGGAUGCAGAAUUGGACUCGGCGCACUCAAAUAAGCAAAACUGGAGUUUUGCCAGAUUCGGGCGCCCAGAACAUGUUUAGGGUCGCCCAGAAACGAGUGUUGAAUUUAACUGAAACUGGAAGCCAAUUCGGAUCCCAUGUUCCGUGCGCCAAGAAGUGGGUCCGAAAAUUUCACCUCGUGAAUAUCGCUUGCUUCGACGCGUGGCAGGGCGGUAGGUGAGUUCCGCCGGUGCCAUUUACGGGCGCAGCACACCGCGAGCGGAGAGUCCGAGGAGCCCGGUUUGUGCAGUCGGGAUGUUCUGGUCGCCCAGAACAUGGUUCCGGGCGCCCAGAAACGCCCGUUUCUGCAGGGACAGUAGAUUGCAAGCUUUGUUCUUGAGGUUCAUCUGAUCCUAUUUUCACCCUAUAAAUAGCUGAGAAGUGUCCCUGGUGAGCUCUUUUCCUCCCUUCUUCACAGAGAAGCCUCUUUUAGCAUCUCUACCCUCGGAUUUGCCUCAAAUUGCAUCAAACUUCCAUGAUCCAGCUUGAUGGAGUGCUGAUUCUGUAGUUCUUCAACGACGACCUCCAGUGUUUUGGCUCGUGCGCGACGUAGGAAGGUCGGAUUUCGACGAAACUUGAUUUGCUGGAUUCUUGACUUCCAGAGGAAUCCACGGAGCCCUGAAUUGCAGAUUUUAGUUGAGGUUAGCUUUGUCGAACUGAGGUUUUCCUCUGCUGCUGUUGCUUUGGACAGAAUUUGCCCAUUUUUUUUAGUUUUCUUGGGGUGAACUUGGGAAGCAGGGGCUUUGUGGAGUUGAGUCACUUUCCCUAUCACCCAGUACUGGAAUUGGGACCCUUUUCACCUGAUUUGGAGUUCGUUAGGUGAGUUUUGACAUUGGAAUUGAGAUAUUUAAGCUUAAUUGCUAUUUUGCUGAACUUCAUCAUCAACUGUUAGUAUUUCAGCUCGUACUCGACGUAGGAGCAUCGGAUUUCGACAAGACUUGAUUCGUUGGUUUCGGGACUGCGAGAGGAAUCCACGAAGUCCUUACUUGUGGAUUUUGGUGAAGGUUAGCUUGGUCGAAAUCCAUCUCUUCUCUGCUGCUGUGUAUUUGGACUGAAUUGUGGAUUUUGAUGUUGAUAGCUUAGAGAUAGCUUGAUUUUGAGACUCGGACAUUUUCAGUCGAUCCAGCAGGUUGUGUCGCAGCCGAGGGAGUUCCGUGCUGCCAGGAAUUUGCUCUUGAGGUGGGUGUAUCAUCGGUUUCGCUCCUAAGUGCAUGUUUAGUCGACGUGUAUAGUUCGAUUUUUGUAUAUCAUGCUUUAAUUCAUCGAUUAGCAUUUUGGACGUAAUAUGAAUAUAAAAGCAUGCUGAAAUGAAUGUUUAUAUUAUACAUGUUGGACUUGAAAUUUGACUUAGGAGAAAACCCGCAUUUUUGACCCGUCAUAUGCUUAAACUACCAGAUUUAGCUCUAGGAGCCGAAAUUCGAUUGUAUCGUUGCAGUAUUAGUGCGAUGGAUACCUGGAGUAGUUUAGAUGACAUUUACGCUCGUGCUGAGGUGCCGAGCUUAUUUUUCAGCAGAGUGUAGGCUGUUUCGGGUCGUUGGAUGCCGUUCGGGUUAGCGGUGGACCCAGAUUCUUGUUUUGGUCACAGAUUGUGCCGAGGGCACGUGGGUUUGGUUUGUAGACCUGUUUUGACCCUGUUUACUUGACUUUGGCUAGUUGGAGCCUGAUUGAGCUCGACAGAAAUACGCUGCAUACUCGGUUGGGUAGUGCCCACGAGUGCCACUCCGGAGUCAGGCUUUGUGCUUUCGCGUUGGUGUCGCUUAUGCCAGUUGGACUUGCUCUCCACGGACCAGUUAGGGUGGAUAGAGCCUGAUAGUCGCAACGGGCAGGGACGGGUGUAUUCACAGUCCCGGAGACGGGUAUGCUUACAGUCCCGAUUGGAUUGGGUCAGGUUGGAUAUUUUCUACAUUUGGUUAGUAUAGAGCAUGAUAGUGUAGUGUUUGAUAGCGGUAGACUUUAUUCCUGCAUUUUACUACUAUUCCUGCUCCUUCUGUAGAUUAGUGGUGGACGAUGUUGUUUUGGGCGGUACCACUGAGGACUACUUAUUUUUACAGUAGUAUUUCACGCCCAGUUGUUACCCCUGUUUUGCAGAGCCACAGGUUUCGGCUGCUGCGCCUUCCGCGGAUCAGGAUCGAGGCAAGGGCGUCGCGAGUUAGAGCCCUACCCAACGUGCUGAGCUAGAGGUGCCCCUACUGCAGGUAGAUGUUUUGUUUUGAGUUUAUGUACAUAGUGGACUUAACUCGCCAGUGCGAGUAGCUUUGUAUUUUGGAUUUGGACUAUGUAUAUGAAACUCAGUUUGUUUAGCUUCUGUAUUCUCUAGCAGCUCUCUACUACUGUUCGUAGUAGUGUUGGAUGUACAGGUACAGCUAUCGCUUCGUAUACAGGGGAAAUUCCUUUGUAUACGGCGAAUUUGUCGGCGCGCCCGGGGAAAGUGUAAACCGGGGCGUGACAGCUUUUUACUGAUUCAUUAUUUUCUUCUCAUUCAUAUUCAUCCAAUUCAUUAUUUUCUUCUCAUUCAUAUUCAUCCGAUUCAUUAUUUUCUUCUCAUUCAUAUUCAUCCGGGAACGCGAGCAUCCGAGAGCCGGCGAGGAACGCGAGCAUCCUCGGGAGGUGAGCUCCUCCUCCUGCUGCCCCAUUUCUCACUCCGCUUUCUUACUUUGAGCUGUGUUGGAUUUGGGGUUAGGGUUAGGGUUUCUUCUGAUUCAUCGAACAAUGUGAGCAUCCGAGGGGAGCCAUGUGUCUAAGCGUCAUCCUAAGCCAGGAUCUUACUCUCCAUGAGAUUCAUAGCUGUAUUACUUCUAGCUUCCUUGUUCGUAGACAAAGCUGUUACGUUUUUGACCUAAGAAGUUUUUUAUAAUUUAAUCCAUAAUAAUUUUCGCAUUGAACUAAUUAAUGUCUGUAUUUUUUAUUUAUAUUGAAAUCAUUUUGUUUUUGCUGUAGUUAACAAUUUUCGUAUUAAACCCAUGAAUGUCUGUAUUAUUUAUUUAUAUCAAAAUCAUUAUACUUUUGCUAUAGUUAAUAAUUUUCGCAUUGAACAUAUGGAUGCAUGUAUUAUUUAUUUAUAUCAAAAUCAUUAUACUUUUGCUAUAGUUAACAAUUUUCGCAUUGAACCCAUGAAUGCUUGUAUUUUUUAUUUAUAUCAAAAUCAUUUUAUUUUGCUGUAAUUACCAAUUUUCGCAUUUAACCUAUAAAUGUUUGUAUUGUUUAUUUAUAUCAAAAUCAUUAUACUUUUGCUAUAGUUAAUAAUUUUCGCAUUGAACAUAUGGAUGCAUGUAUUAUUUAUUUAUAUCAAAAUCAUUAUACUUUGCAUUGAACCCAUGAAUGCCUAUAUUUUUUUAUUUAUAUCAAAAUUAUUUUGCUUUUGCUGUAGUCAAUAAUUUUCGGAUUGAACCCAUGAAUGUCUGUAUUGUUUAUUUAUAUCAAAAUCAUUUUGCUUUUACUGUAGUUAACAAUUUUCGCAUUGAACCCAUGGAUGUCUGUAUUUUUUGUUUAUAUCAAAAUCAUUUUGCUUUUACUGUAGUCAACAAUUUUCGCAUUGAAUCCAUGAAUGUCUGUACUGUUUAUUUAUAUCAAAAUCAUUUUAUUUUUCUGUAUUCAACAAUUUUCGCGUUAAACCCAUGUAUGUUUGUAUAUUUUAUUUAUAUCAAAAUCAUUAUGAUUUUUGUUGUAAUUAAUAAUUUUCACAUUUAACCAUGAAUAUCUGUAUUGUUUAUAUAUAUCAAAAUCAUUAAGUUUUUGCUAUAGUUAGCGAAAAACCCAUGGAUGUCUGUUUUGUUUAUAUAUAUCAAAAUUAUUAUGCUUUUGUUGUAGUUAACAAUUUUCACAUUGAACCUAUAUAUGUCUGUAUUAUUUAUUUGUAUUAAAAUCAUUAUACUUUUACUGUAAUUAACAAUUUUCGCAUUUAACAAUUUUCGCAUUGAACUCAUGGAUGUCUGUUUUGUUUAUUUAUAUCAAAAUCAUUACGCUUUUGCUGUAUUUAACAAUUUUCGCAUUGAACUAAUGGAUGUCUGUAUUAUUUAUUUAUAUCAAAAUCAUUAUGCUUUUGCUGUAUUUAACAAUUUUCGCAUUGAACUCAUGGAUGUCUAUAUUUUUUAUCUAUAACAAAAUCAUUAUAUUUUUUCUGUAGUUAACAAACUUUGCAUUAAACUCAUGGAUAUCUAUUUUUUAUUUAUAUCAAAAUCAUUAUACUUUUGCUGUAGUUAACAAUUUUCGUAUUGAACCCAUGAAUGUCUGUAUUUUUUAUUUAUAUUAAAAUCAUUUUACUUUUGUUGUAGUUAACAAUUUUCUCAUUGAACCCAUGAAUGUCUGUAUUGUUUAUUUAUAUGAAAAUCAUUAUACUUUUGCUGUAGUUAACAAUUUUCGCAUUGAACCCAUGGAUGUCUGCAUUGCUUAUAUAUAUCAAAAUCAUUAUGUUUUUGCUGUAGUUAACAAUUUUCGUAUUGAAUCCAUGAAUGUCUGUAUUUUUUAUUUACAUCAAAAUAAUUAUGUUUUUGCUGUAGUUAACAAUUUUCGCAUUGAACCUAUGGAUGUUUGUAUUGUUUAUUUAUAUCAAAUCAUUAUGCUUUUGCUGUAGUUAACAAUUUUCGCAUUUAACCCAUGAAUUUCUGUAUUUUUUAUUUAUAACAAAAUCAUUAUAUUUUUACUGUAGUUAACAAUUUUCGCAUUAAAUAUAUGAAUAUUUGUAUUGUUUAUUUAUAUCAAAAUCAUUAUGUUUUUGCUGUAGUUAAUAAUUUUCGCAUUGAACCCCUGAAUAUCCAUAUUUUGUAUUUAUAUCAAAAUCAUUAUGAUUUUACUGUAGUUAACAAUUUUCGCAUUGAAUCCAUGAAUGUCUGUAUCUUUUAUUUAUAUCAAAAUCAUUAUGUUUUUGCUGUAGUUAACAAUUUUCGCAUUGAAUCCAUAAAUGUCUGUAUUGUUUAUAGUUGUUUGCGCCAAUUCUUGGUUGUUGGGAUUUUGUUAUUUGAACAUUGAAUCUUGUCUCUUUUUUUCUAGCUUCAGUAAUAGAGAUGCAGCAGGAAAAUAAUCCUGCUGCGCAGUCCAACUCUAAGAUCCAACUGCUGUUGUUGAGUGUCUCUGGCAUCAUUACAGCCAAUCACCUUGCUAUAGUAAUUCCUUUUUUUUCUUGAAUGUUUCUGAGCAAGUUUUCUAUUUUGUCGAGUUGCUGUCACACGUGUUUGCGGCAAUCUGCGCUACUAGCAUCAUACCCUACUUUAAUGAUGGUGAACCACAGAAUUCUAAUGAAAUAAAACACAAUCAUUUCUACUCCCUCCUGUUGUAUUCGAUUGCCUCUUUUUUUCAAAUGGCAAUCACAAGAGCCGUAAAAGUUUGGAAGUCAAACUUGUUACAGUAUGAUUGGAUAGUCUUUUUAGUUGGUGUUUGUACUAGUGCUAUUAUUCAGAUUAUUGAAAGCUGGAUAUUGUGCCGAUACAAGAAUGUGGAGGUGGAGCCAGAUAUUUAUCGUUUUGUUUGCUAGGUCAUUUUGUUUUUAAUUCUGAUUGCCUGAUAUAUCUUAAAUGACUUUUUGUAGAUGCAGUUAGUGGAUAGGAGAAGGGUACUUCAGAUUCCAGGAGCAUUUUCAUUAUAUUUUCUUUUUCCUUUCUGUUAUUUUUUGGCCAAUUUGCAUAAAAAAUCCACUAAUUUUAUGUUUUUGCAAAAGUGGGUCACCUUUUUCGUUUUUGCAGAUUUGGUCCGAUUUUUCAACAAACUGACCAAAAUACCUUUAUACCUUUUACUCUCUCCUUUUUUUUUUCUCUCGUUCUUUUUUUCUUUCUCUUUCCAGAGAGUGGCGGAGGCAGAGGCGGAGGCGGAGGCGGAGGCGACCCGCUUCGGUUUUGUCCAGCGCAUCCUUACCUUCGCCCGCACAUCCCUCGCCUUCCUCGCCUCCGACCCUGCCGAGGCCGCGCUGCGACUUUUUUUUUUUCCCUCUUCAACUCUCCUCCACCGCCUCCGACAAUGACGCCUAUCUCAUCCACUCUCGCCCUUCUCGCCCUUUCCAUCUCCCUCCUCCUUUGCCUCCUCCGCCGCCUCCAACGACGAUGCCUCUCCGCUGACAUUGGCGCCGCGGAGGUCGCUGCGGCCCCCGCAACCUCGGAGCGGGGGAUCUUUAGUGUCACGCCCCGAACCCUGCCUAUUUGGUCGGGUUCGGGCGCGCCAACAGACCGCCGAACGGACAGAGUCUCCAAUGUACAUCCUAGGCAUCACAAUCAAGACAAUUCACGAUGUUCCAACUAGGAAUAGAAUUGAACAUACAAAUUGCAUAAAGAAAUAUCAAAAACAUAAAUACUAUGCUAUUACAAGCAUUCAACUCACAUGCAUCUUAACAUAUUACAUUUUUAUUUACAUUCAACUUCCAAAUUACAAUCUAGUUAUUACAACACUUAAUACAAGCUUGUUUUUUUUUUUUUUUCAUUCUAUACCCCUAAGCUAGACCACCCCGAGGUACCACUAUCUCUGGUCCAAUAAUAGGGCGCUAUCUACGGAGCUACGCCCUUUCCUCGCGCCGCCGCGCCGCUCGCGUGUGAAUCUGAAAUCCCCAAAACGAUAUGGGGUGAGAACUAUAUAAAUAUAGUUCUCAGUGGGUAUGGCCACCCAAGGGAAGAGCUUGACCCACAAGGUCCGGAGGAGGCACUACAAUUAUGUUAGUGCAACAAAUAUCCAUAGAUAUUUAUGCAAUAUUAAAUACAUGACUAUGCCUCACGAAAUGCAAUAUGCAAAUUCGUGCCAUAAGUAGAUCAAUCGAUACUACUUUCAAUCACGCUAUCCAUAGCUCAUGUCUACUAGCUUUUAAGGUUUCUACUUCCUUAGAUUCGUGCCAUAAACCACUUACUCUUAAGGUUUCAUCUACUUUAACCAAGCUAGCCACCCAACUUGGCAUCGAGUCAAUCCAACGCGGAAUACCGCGUAAUCUGCUGCAUCCACAGCCUACCGCACUCCUUGACUUAGCCAUCUCGCAGCGAAAUCGUCGCACACGUCCAGCCAUCAAGUCAACCGGCGGCAUAAUCCACAAACCGGCUUAACCAUCUGGUGGCGAAAUCGUCGCACACGCCCAACAAUGGUUUAGCCCCGGGCGGCGAAAUCGUCGCACACGCCCCACACCCACUCUUGGUGGCAAUAAGUCCUAGGAUUUCGAAAUUCGUUUUCCACAUCUCAAGGGUAGUCAACCACCCUAUGCUGUCGACCUAUCUAGGUUCGACCCAUGCACAUCCCAGUGGUCCUACUACCACUAUAUUUCACCAUUUAGGUUCAACCACGCUAAGUGUCACUACAUGUCGUAACCUAGUUUCAAUGCCACACUAGGUUCUAUGUCAUUUCCACAUAGAUCUCGACUCUAGGUUCACUUGUUCAACCUAUGUUCUAUGACACUAGGUUCAUGUCUAACCUAUGUUUAAUAACACUAGGUUCAUGCCACUCGAUCUACUUGACAUGCUAGUUGUCCACAUCGAGUAUUCAUAGAUCUCAUGUUCUAAUUUUCCAAUGUCGAGUCCUCUAAUCACCCUUGAGUUUUCGACCCAUGUUCAACUCAUACGAAUCAAGCAUAUUCUACAACUUGCCAACAUGCAUAUUACCUUUAACAUAAUCCACAAUAUAUCAACAUGCACAUUCUUUCUAGCAUAUUCUCAUGAUGCUAACGUUCAAAUACCAUCUAGCAUAAUUCUCAUAAUGCUAACAUGUAUUUACCAUCUAGCACAUUUAUAAUGCUGUCUGCGACCACGAAUGACGCACCUCGCACGAUUGAUCUUAUUUUGAUUUUCCCCGUGGGGUAGUAUUCAUGAUUCAGAUUAGUAUUUAAUUAUAUAUAUAUAUAUAUAUAUGGUUAUCAGGUAUUGUGGAUUCAUGGCUUCCAAUAAACGCAAGCGUCUAUUGUUAAUUACCCCUACAAAGUGUUAGGGCAUCUUCGAUUAAGAGACCUCUGUAAUGCUGAAAUAGACUGAAAUAAAAUGUGGAUUUUAUAACAUAAUCCAUUAUAUAGUUACAUGGCUUAACCAGGGGCAUACCCCCAGUGUACAUGAAUGAAUAUGACGGUUGAUUGAACUUGAUUUUGAACCAAAGUAUAUGAUCAGAUUGACUUGAUUAGGCUCCAUAUGUUUCAGUGCUCAACAAUAUUGUUCACCCUAAGAUGAGGGAUUGAUUAAAUUCCAUGUAUAUGCAUUGGGACUUAAUCGGAUUUGAUUCAAAUUAAACCCUAGUUAGGUGCAUUAGAGUUUGAUUUGAUUAAAUUGGUUUAAGCUUUCAUCCUAAAUGUAUGUGUUAGAAUUAACCCAAAUAUUUCGAAUUAGACUCUAAUUCGAUAUCUUGGAGUCUAGUGUAAUUAAGCCCAAUGCUUAUAUAUUAGAGCUUAAUUAUGUCUCACAUUGAGUGAAAUAUUAACUAAAUCCUAAUUAUAUAUAUUAGGAUUAGUCAAAACUUGAUUUAAAUUAAACUCUAAGUGUAUGUAUUAAAGUCCAAUUUGGAUUCACCAUGAGGUGAAAUAUCAACUAAAUCCUAAUUAUAUAUAUUAGGAUUAGUCAAAUGUAAUUUAAAUUAAACUCUAAGUGUAUGUAUUAGAGUCUAAUUUAGUUUCAUUUGGGUUCACCAUGAGGUGAAAUAUCAAUUAAAUCCUAGUUAUAUAUGUUAGGAUUAGUCAAAAUUUUGAUUUAAAUUAAACUCUAAAUGUAUGUAUUAGAGUCUAAUUUGGGUUCACCAUGAGGUGCAGGAUGGCUAAAUCUAUUUGUAUUAGAAUUAGCCGAUUUGAUUUAGAUUAACUCUAAUUAUAUAUAUUAGAGUUUAAUUAAUUUAAUUGAACUCUAAAUAUGUAUAUUAGAGUCAAACUAAAUUCGAGUUCACUCUAAGGUGAAGGAUGGCUAAAUACUAAAUAUAUAUAUUAGGAUUAGCCGAAAUUAUACAUAUUAGAGUCUAACUUGAUUUCUUAUGUUUGAACUCUAAGUAUAUAUAUUAGAGUCCAAUCGAUUUAAUUAUUUUUAUCUUAGUCAUAUGUACUAAGAUAAAAAAAAAACGAUUUGAUCAAUUCUAAGCAUAUAUUUAGAAUUUGAUCGAGUUUGAAUAUGGUUGUGGUUUGGCUCUAGUUUUAUAUGCUAGAGAAUUGGGUUGAAAUAGUUUGUUUCCAAAGACUUGGUAUAGAGAAGAGGUUGGAUUAGGUUGUGCAUGAUUGAGGUUAGGUUUGGACUUUGAUUUGGUUAUUAUGGUAUAGGUUUCAUGUAUGGCUUGUCAAAUUUGGAUUGGAUUGGAAUUAAAGAUUGGGUUCAGCUUGGAUCAAUCUGGAAUAAAUGAUUGGGUUGGGUUUAUAUUUAGUCUUGACAUAAACUUGGGCUCAUUCGGAGAUAUAAUUAGGCUGGGUUUAUAUUCGGCCUUGGACAUGAAUUUGGGCCCAUUCAGAGAUAUAAUUAGAUUGGGUUUGGGUUUUGUCUUGGACAUGAACUUGGGCCCAUUCAGAGAUAUAAUCUGGUUGGGUUAGGCUUAGAUGUGUAGAUUGGCCAUUGAGUUUAGACUUGGGCUGAGUUCAGGUCCGUAAAGCUAUAUUUGGAUUCAGGCUCAAUGUGAGUUAGAUGUAGGCUUAUAUGAUAUGGAUUCGGGUAUGGGCUAAAUUCAGGCCCAUGUAGUAUAGAUUCAGGUUGAGGCCUGAAUUAUAUCUAAAUUUUGGAUAUGGGCUCGGGCUCAAUUCAGGCCUAUAUGACUUAGGUCCAUAUUUCUUUGGGUAAACUAUAGAAUUGGGCCCAGAUUUAUGUUUGGGCUGAACCUGAGUGGUUAUGUUGAGCUUGGGUUAUGAGAUUUGAGGUGAGUAUGGGCUUGUUCCAUACGAGAUUUUGAGAUGGGAAUUAUUUAGGAUUUGUUUGAGAUCAAAAUAUUUAAAUAUAUUGUUCAGAAUCAAAUUCAUUACUUAAACAUUUCAAAUGUUUUUUUUUAUUUGUCAAAUUCUCAGUCAUGAAUCACAUAAAAUGUCCAAUGCGAUUAAAUCUCAAUUUGGUCUAAUUUGACCAAAUCGAAAGAUUCGACUUUGGAAAGAAUAUUAAUCGGUAAUCCGACUAAUUUUCUUUUGUCUCUUCAUUGUAGGAGAAUUAAGAGAACACAUUUUUUUCUCUUUAUCUCCUUUGAAAAUAUAAGACAACAAAGAUAGAUAAUUCUUCUUUGUCUCUUCUACAUUCAUGGGACAACUAAGGUGAAAAAAUCCCUUCCUUGCCUCCUUUUUUUGUAACAAAGCUCCCUCUCUCUUUCAUAAAUAGAGAAGUAAUCUCUUUCUCUCUUUUGAUAAUAUAAUUUUUUUGCAAAGAGAAGAGCACUGCUCUCUCCCUCUUUCGAUGAUGCUAUAUUUUUUAUAAAGAGAAGAGCACCGCUCACUCUCUUCUGAUAAGACAUAUUUUUUAUAAAGAGAAGAGCACCGCUCUCUCUCUUUAUGUAUAGAUCGGGUUCACCGUCAAAAGUACAUCUUAGGCAUUUCAUCAAAUAAUUGGUAGGCAUGAUUCGUUGGCGCCAACUCCGUCAGAGCAAUAUCCUAGGCGUUUCAUCAAACAAUUGGUGGGCGAGGUCGUCGGGCCUCAACUCAUUGCCAUUCCGCAGCAUCCACCGCAAGCACCCGUCAACCGUCAAUGAGAAUGCGGAAGAGCAGGUGGUUGACGACGUUAGCGACGGGGAGCCCGCACUCAUCGUCGAGGCGCUCGGCAUCCCCGGCGUAGAGGAGGGAGAAGACGAGGUGCGAUAGGGUGUGGGCUGAACCCGCGGGUGGCGGCGCGGCUGUCAGCGACGAUGGUCUCCGCAUCGAGCCCCACUACGAAGCGGUUGAGGCAUUGGCAGUGUAUGCGUGGCGCCUCCGCGACACACACCUUGGUGUCCGCGCCUGAUGAGGUCACUGCCGUCAAGAUCUCAUCGGGGCUGUUUCGACCGCCGCCGAUCCGAUCGGGCUUCCUCUAGUUUCGUUUAGGAAUUUCAUCGAACAGGUGGAGGCCGCGGUGUGAAGAGGAAACUUAUGGAGACGCGGCGGAGCUCGGUGAAGCUCGGCGGGGGCGCUCAGUAGAGCUCGGUGGAGUUCGGAAGAGAUGCGGUGGAGAAGUGGCGGAGCUUGGUGGAGCUCGGCGGAGGCGCUCAGCGGAGUUCGGUGGAGCAUGCGCGGGUCGCGCGUCGCCGCAGAGAGGAGGAAGGAGAUAAGCUGUUCUCGCGGGAACAGCUCCAGGAGCUUCCCCAGGUCCUCGUCCUCCUCCUCAUCGCCGUCGCCGUCAUCGUCGUCCGCCGCCGCGGGCGCGUCUUCGGGGAUCGGGAAGUACAGAGUUUGGCGCGGGGUUUUGUGGUCGGAGGAAGCCGGACUGCAUCCAAAGAGCGCUCAUGAGGGCCGCCGAGAGCAGGUCGACGGCGGGGCUGGAGGAAGCGAUGACGCUGUAGACGGCGUCGGCGAGCAUGAGGAGCAUGGCGGCCAGCACAAGGAGCGCGCCGCGGCCCUUCUUCUCGAAGAGGCCGACGUGUGCGAACUCGACGACGAGGCGGCGUUGGAGACGGCGUAGUCGGCGAGGCGGGCGAUGCAGAGGGGGUCGAGCAGCGCCCAGGCGGACGGCGGGUGUGCGUCAAGGAGGCAAAGGCCGAACGUGGGUGGAAGUCUUUGCGGAGGUCAUCGGAGAGGCGCCCAAGCUCCGCCAUGAGGCACGCAACAUCGUCGGCGCUCCCGAGGAACGCCCUCGUGAUGGGGGCCAACCUGUUCGUAGCGGAGGCCAUUGCCGUUGACGAAGGCGACCGGGAUCUUCCCCGCUGCCACACGUAUCCUUACCCUCGAUCGAUCGAUCUCGAUCGAUGGAUCCGGUGGCGGCGGAGGCGUCGAAGGCCGAGGAAAGCGAGAGAGGGAGGAGCCAGGGAGUGAGCGAUCGAUUUGGGGCGUUAAUAGAGAGUGUCGGUGCGAAUUGGGGCGUUAAUGGUGAGAGAGAGAGAGAGAGAGAGAGAGAGAGAGAGAGAGAGCUUUGUCAUUGAUUGAUGCUACAUCAAUGGAAAAACUACCUUUUUUUUUUCUUUCGUGAACAGGGGAAUAGUAUGGGUUUUUCUUUCGUGAACAGGGGAAUAGUAUAGGUUUGAGAAUUCAAAAACUGUGUCUCUCCUUUUGUUUCGAGAGAUAUUUAUGGGCUGAAUUACAACUGCUUGGAAUUUUCCCUCUCUUUUUUUUUAUUUUAUUUCUUUUUUUUUUAGGAUGUGCGUAUAGUGGGGAUUGUGGGGAUAUGGGAAGUUGGACGUGGGAGAUUUUUUUGACAGUCGUGGGAUCAUGGGUUCAUGGGUGUAACAUUACAAAUUAUUCCCUUCACUUUGUUUAUAUUAUAGUUUAGUUAAAGUAACAAGAUAUUAUACGCUUAAAAUGGAGCAUCUUGCAAAUAUCUGAAAGGAAAAGGACUAAUUUGCUAUUUGCCAUACCAUUCAUGCCUACGAGAACAUCCCACUUUUUGUAAUCUAUGCACCUGGUGCAUGGAUUAACCUAUGCACCAGGUUCAAAAUUUGAACUCAAAUUUCUCCAUGCACCUAGUGCAUGGAUCAUCUCAUACACCAUUAUUCAAAUUUUCUCUCUUUUUACCCUUUUUUCUUUCUCCUUUUUUUUUCUUCUUCUUCCUUUUUUUUUAUGCUUCAACAAAUGCCAACAUGCACACACUCUCUAGCAUAUUCUCAUGAUGCUAACAUGCAUAUAUUUUCAUCCAAGAUAGUCAAUACAUAAUGUCUCAUACAUUUACACGGCAUCCACCAACGCAUUCAUUCAUGAAAUUAACUACCAUUAUAUGCAUCAAUGAUAAAUCUCACUUCACUUCGACAUGGAAGUGAGCUAAAUAUUUCGGUGAACACAACCCAUCUCGUAACGCUAUCCGAUUGCUUGUAGUCACUUGCAAUCGGCCUCCUGCGGCACACGUGAUCCGGUUCGGGCCGAACUCGCAAUCGAUCGCCAACGCCCGUCGAUCCGCAACCUAGAGUUAUUUGGGACACUUCUCUAACCUUCAAUUAGAGAAAUAUAGGGUUCAAUUAUGUCUAAACCCCCAAAAUCCCAAAAAACUCCAAUUCUAACCCUAGUCUCUACACAUGCAUCAAAUAUCCCAAAAUCCAUGGAGAAAAUAUGCAUAAGUACACUAGGGACUACUAGAAUGCUAUUCAUGAAGGAUUUAUCCAAAUCCAAAAAGAUUACCAAAAUGCGCACACCGAGACGGAAGCACGCCGCUCAAACGGGCGCACGAGGGCCGGAAACGUCGCCUCCCACGCGUUCGCAAGGUCCUUCUCCUCCAAGCCUCCGAAUUUGGGAGAUGGAUCUAGAGAGAUGGAAGAGGUAUCUAGACAGAGAGAGUUUCUCUCACUAGAACCAUGGGUGAGGUAGGAAAAAUGGCUGAUGGGAGAGGAAGAAGAAGAUGGCCCCCUCUUAUUAGUCAACUUUCUCUAAAUCACCAAAAUGCCACCAGCCCGCCUGGGCCUUUUCGGGCUUCGGGGUCUGGACCCCGAAGCCAAGGUCCGGACCCCGUAGGUCCAAACAGCCCAGCAAUUUUAAAAACUUAGCCAAUUUUCAGCAGUUUUCAGCUUUAGUCCGUUUUGCUUCGUUUUCGCUCGUUUUCGCUCCGUGGGUCUCUGAUUCACUUCUAAUCGUACCGAGACCCCCAAAACACAUUUUUAAGCGUGUCUAAAUCAUCUUUUCAUUCACGCUUCGCCAGAUUCCGACCACAGUCCAAUAUAGCUUUUCGGGUCUCGUUUUCGUACCCAACGCGCACCGAAAACACCCGAACGUACCUGAACUUCACCGGAACCAUUCUAAUAGCUUUCCAAACUAACAUACACCAUAACCUCAUAACUUUGGAAGUUCGCUAUGUUACAUUUAGCAGCGUCGUCGCCGGCACCGUGGUCGUUGACGGAGAGGCGUGACAAAAAAAAUUUAUAAAAGUGGAAAAAGAAAAAAAUAAAGAAAAAAAAUUAUAUAAAAAAGAAGAAGAUGAUGAAAUUGCACUCUUAAAAUAAAAUUACACUGUUUUAAAAUAAAUUUACACUGCUUUAAUAAAAAUUGCACUAUUUGAUAUAGAAAUUAUACUUUUUUAGAAUAGAUUUUACACUCUUAAGGCUAGCGUUGCACUAUUUAGAAAAAUUGUGCACUGUUUUUUUUCUUUUCUUUUUCUUUUUCUCUUCUCAUUCUUCUUAUACAAAGCGGAGAGCUCCCCAUUCCGGGUAACAAACAAACAAAUUAGUGUCGGGACAAAUUAACUAAUAUAUAGGACAAAUUAAUUAGUAUUGGGACAAAUUAACUAAUACAUAGGAAUAUUUUUGAAAAUGUUUGACGCAUGCAGAGGGCCGACCUCGACGAGCCGAUUCGAGGCGUGGCGGGGACGGAGAGCGGGGCUCGUGGUGUUGGUCGACGGCGCGCGCGGGGGUGCAGGGUAGGUGCUGCUCCUGCAGGAAGAAGAAGAAGAAGGGUGGGUGCUGCUCCUGCAGGAGGAAGAAUAAGAAGAAGAAGAAGAGAAACAGAAAAAAAAAAAGAAAAAAAAUACUGCAAAAGUUUUUUUAGUAUGUACUACAAAUUUGAAACCUUAUGGAGUAUGAUAGUUAUAAUCAAUUUGUUUUUUAAGUGUUUUUUUUUUUAACUUACUGAAAGUUGUGGUGGUUUAAAAAAAAAAGGGUUAAUUACACCGGUAGUUUCCCAACCUUUCCACCAAUUUUCACUUGAGUCCCUAACUUUUUUUUUUGCAAUUGAGUCCCUAACAUUUUAAUUUUAUUACAAUUAGGUCCCAAUCGUUAAAAAAACAGUUAAAAUAACGGAAUCACCACGUCAGCGUCUAUGUGGCAACCUUUUGCAUGUCAAUUUAGGUCCCUAAACUUUACACAUUUUUCAUUUUAGUCCCUAAAAAAAAUUCAAAAUUUUAAAUUUAAAUUCAAAAAUAAUAUUAAAAUUAAAAUUUUAAACUAACGAGAAAUUAGAAUUUUAAAUUUGAAUUUAAAGCUGAAUUAAAAUUUUGAAUUGAAAUUCAAAAUUUAAAUUUAAAUUUUUAAUUGAAUCUAAAUUAAAUUUUAAUUUUAAUUUGAUUUUAAAUUUUAAAUUUGAAUUUAAAUUUUAAAUUUGAAUUUAAGAUUUAAUUUCAAUUCUAAAUUUGAAUUUAAACUUCGAAUUCAAAUUCACAUUUUGAAUUUGAAAUUUCAAAUCGAAGUUUGAAAUUAAAUUAGAAUUUAGAAUUCCAAAUGUGAAUUUGAAUUUAAAAUUAAAAAUUUAAAUUAAAUACAAAAUUGAAAUUUGAAUUCGAAUUUAAAUUUGAAUUCAAAAUCAAAAUUUAAAUUUAAAAUUUAAAUCUUAAAUUAAAUUUUUUUUUUAAUUUAUAAAUUUAAUGGGUUAAUUACACCAUUGGUCCUCAACCUUUGCACCAUUUUUCAAUUUCGUCCCCAAUCUUUUUUUUUCUUUUGCAAUCCCUGACACAGCACCACUGUGGCGCUGACAUGGCGCCUCCGUGGCGCUGACGUGGCAUUUUCUGUCAAUUUUAACGGUUGAGACUUAAUUGAAAUGAAAUCAAAAGAUUAGGAACUUUAUUGCAAAAAAAAAAAGGUUGGAAACCAAAUUGAAAAAUAGUGUAUAGGAUAUGGACCAUUGGUGUAAUUAACCCAAAAAGAAAAUAAAGAAAUGAUGUUUCCAUACAACUCCAACAAAAUAAUAGAUUAAUUAAAAAUAAUUAUUUUGUGAAAUGAACUUCAGAGUCAAAUUUAGAAGGUCAGACUGAAAUCAUAAUCAAAAUUACAAUUUUUCAUCAUUUUAUUUUUAUGAGCUUAAUUAACCCAAAAAGAAAAUAAAGAAAUGAUGUUUCCAUACAACUCCAACAAAAUAAUAGAUUAAUUAAAAAUAAUUAUUUUGUGAAAUGAACUUCAGAGUCAAAUUUAGAAGGUCAGACUGAAAUCAUAAUCAAAAUUAAAUUGUAAGAAAUAAUAAUUUGUAGUUAAUUAAGCUCAUAAAAAUAAAAUGAUGAAAAAUUGUAAAAAGUGCUAUUGGCUGUUCUUUAAUACAACACUCCAAAACUAACUGAAAUUCGUAUCGAUAUCUCUGCAUGCUCUAUUUAAUAAUAUAAUUUAUUUGCAGUUUUAUUUCUAAAAAAUUAAAAUAAAAGUUAUAAUGAUGAUUAGAGGAACUGAAACUAAUCUUGGGUAUCAAAUUUGGAAGCAAAUUAAUUUUUUAUGAGACAAUAUGUAUGGACACGACAUUGGACCGAUUUGCAAAUGCCGUCAAGGUGAGGGAUGGUGGUGGAAAUUUGCCAAGUUGAUCAGUAAAAAUUUUGCUUGUAUAUUUCAAAAGAGGUAGAAAUCAUAAAAAAACAAAAUAAUUUUAGUAAAAGAUAAAAAAAUGAUGUGACAAGUAAAAGACGAUGGCAUUAAAUCAAUGUGGAGGGCGUAGACGCACACCCUAUUUCAGAAUGUAACAGCAAUAUUGUACAUCAAUUAUUAUGCUAUCUCUUUUGCAACCCUUCUCUCACUAUUCGCUAGGGAGUGUCAUGCAGACAAAUGUCGGUCACUAUUUUGUUUGACUUUAUCGUCCUUACGAAAAUAAAUUUUUGAUCCAAAAAUAAAUUUUUGAUCAAUAAAGCAUUUCGCAAUUCUUUUUAAAAAAAAUUUAAUUUUGAUUUUUGAAAUCAAUUUGGCUGAUUUUCGAGAUUCCAAGUCAAAAUUAGCUAAUAUUCACUUCUUGAAAUCUGAUUCUAAUUUUAGAUUCGAAACUUAAUUUUAAUUUUAAUUUUUUAUUUUUUAUUUUAUAUUUGAAUUUUUAAAUUUUAAAUUUUAACAUUAAAAUUUUAAAUUUAGAUAUUAAAUUUUAAAUUUUAAGUUUUAAAUUUUAAAUUCAAAAUUCUCAAUUUCAAACUGCAAAAUUUUAAAUUUCAAAUUUAAGAUAAAAUUUAAAAUUUGAAAUAUAAAAUCUAAAAUUAUGAAUUUGAAUUUUCAAAUUACAAAUUUAAUAUCUUUAAGUUUCAAAAUUUUUAAAUUUUUAGUUUAAAUUUCAAAUUUUAAUUUUAAAUGUGAAAUUGAGAAUUUAAGUUUCGAUAUAAAAUUUUAAAUUUUAUAAUUUUAUAUUUUCAAAUUUCAAAUUUAUAUUUUAGAUGAAAACAUCAAAUUUUUAAUAUUUUUUCUAAUUUCAAGUUUAAAUCUUAUAAUUUAAAAUUUAACUCAUUUGAAAUUCAUAGUUAAAUUUUUUAAAUUUAAANUUAAUUUUAAAUGUGAAAUUGAGAAUUUAAGUUUCGAUAUAAAAUUUUAAAUUUUAUAAUUUUAUAUUUUCAAAUUUCAAAUUUAUAUUUUAGAUGAAAACAUCAAAUUUUUAAUAUUUUUUCUAAUUUCAAGUUUAAAUCUUAUAAUUUAAAAUUUAACUCAUUUGAAAUUCAUAGUUAAAUUUUUUAAAUUUAAAAUUUAAAUCAUUUUAAAUUCAUGUUGAAAUUUUAAAUUAUUUUAAAAUAAAAUUCAGUAAAAAAAAUUAUUAUUUGUAAAUAGUAAAAAUUUUGGCAUACAACUUUAUAAAAUCACAAUAUAAAAAUGGUUUUCCAUCUAAAUUUAGUUAAAUGCUCUAUUGUUUUUAAUAAAAAUUAAUUUUUCAAAUCAAAAUUAAUUUUGUAGAAAAUUAUUUUUCUAAUCAGUUAAACCGAAUGGGCCCUCCGUCUCAAACACAAAUCGAAGAGGAAACCCUGUACUCUUGUCAUCUUCAUUGUCAUCUUCACACGUUUGAAGCUACAGGCUUUGGUUGAGGGCUCGAACAGCUUCCAACUCCAAAUAUAGAUCUAGAAACUGUUAGAACAAAUACCAUAAAGAAAUCUGAUUGUGAUUAAAAUUUAACUAAUUUUAAUCAAAAAAACAAAUCAAACUUAUAGAUAAACACAAAUAUUUCAAUAAAAAUUUGAUUUUAUCUGGAAGCAUGUGAGACAGUUCCCUAAGACGUAUUCCCGUCUUUACGUGAUUCUGUCGGAAAUAACACCCUAAGGUACGACCGGAAUUCCUCCUCCUACGAGCACGAUCGUAAAAAGGUUGACGAAGAUUUUUUUCAACACCCAGUAGAUAAGAAAAAAUAUUAGAAGAUAAAGUGAUAAAUAGAUGAGGAUUAAGCAAUUAUCUCAUAUCUUUCUUAAGAGAGGAGAGAAAAAGAGAUAAUAUAUAAAAAGGAGAAUUUACGUUACGAGAAAGAGCAACGGAAUGGAAUUUUUUUUUUACGCAAGAAACGGAACAGGAAAAAUAUCCCGAAGAAUUUACGCUACAAGAAAGAGCAAGAAACAAAAUUGAUCACCGGGGUGCAUCUUGUGCUAGACGAGGUCACGCAACGUAAAAACAUAAUUGAUGAAAUAAUUAAUUAAUAUUAACAUAUUAACUUAUUUUUUUGUUGUUAUUUAUUAAUUAAUGUCAUUCUUAAUUAUCUCAUAUAGUAUCCUUAAUUAAUUAAUUUAUUAACUUGUUAUAAUAUUAUUUGUAUGCUUAUUAUUUCAAUGCAUGAUGUUCGUUUUCAAUCAUAAUGUUUCUUAUUUUUACUAUUUCAAUUAAUCAUCUAAACUUAGUUUUUCUUAUUUCUAAAAAUAUCUAAAUUCUUCGUGCAAGUUCAAAUUAAUUUAAUUCCUAUUUAUUUUAAAAAUUACGUUUACUUUGGAAAUAAGCAAGAAUAGCUUCGUCUCAAAACAAACGGCAAGUAAAUGUAUUUUUUUUAGACCUGACAAACGAAUUGAUUGAAUGAUCAAACCCACGGAUUAUUUGAGCAUGAAUAAAAUUUAUCAAUAAAUUUUUGGACAGACACUAUUCUUAUCCAUAUUAGCUGGCAGGUGGAUGGGUGGGCAUACGAGUUAACCAUAAGAUAUUAUUUUUUUUAUUCUUAUACUUUUCAUAUAGAGAGAGAGACAGGCUAUUAUCCUCUUAAGAGGAUAGAAUCUUUUGUCAUAUCAAGUUAUUUUGGAUGAUCGGAACUUCAAAGUGAUAAUCGGUAUCGUUGAAAUUGAUCUACACUAUUAAAACUAUUUAGAAACCGAAUUUUGUAAUUUUUAAAAAUUAUUAUCAAAUCCAUCGAAGAGUCAAAAAAUGAACGAUAAAAAACAAAUGACCUUCUCAAAAAAGAUAUUAGACUUUUUCAAUUUACGAUCGGAGUUAUUAAACAUUAUCUAAAUAUAUAAUUUUUGAAAGAUAGUAACACAAUCUACUAUUUAAAAUAUCAAUACAAUAGAUAAUAUAAAGUCUCAAAAAUCAAAAUAAUACUAAAAAAAUUAAGAUUAGAAUUCUAAAUAUAGAUAAAAUAAAAUAAGUACCCACCCGCAGAUAACCAUGUCGCCCAAAAUAAUUAUAAUUUAAUGGGCGCCUACUGGUUUUACUCAUAAAUUUUUUGGAUAAAAAAUUAGUGAUCGUGCUCGUAAAUUUAAAAACAAUCCAUGAAUAUUUGCGGCUAUAAUAGAGAUUGCCGGAUGUAAUUUUCCUCCCAUUAAUUCAUAUUGUUAUAUUAUCUAUAUCUAUAGGGUAAUGCUACUAUCCUAUUAAUAGGAUAGGAGCACUUGUCCUAUCAAGUUGUUCUUGAUGAUUGAGAUUCUGAAUCGAUGAUCGGAGCCGUUGAAGUUGAUCUAGAGUAUUUGAAAUAUUUAGAAACUAAAUUUCAUAAAUUUUGAUAAUGGUUUACAUGGUGAUCAAAGUGUCGUAAAAUUGACAAUUUUUGAUGGCCUAUAUGAGCCGUUUGCUUGUUUAACGGUGUAGAGCAAUCCAAAUUGCUUGAAUUUUUGAUAGAGAAUUUUUUAUACUAUUUAGAUAAUGUUUGAUAAUUCUGAUUACGACCUGAGAAAGUCUAACCUCUAUUUUAAGAAGGUUAUUCAUUUAUGACCGUUCAUUUUUCAACUCUUAAGAUGAAAUUGAUAAUGAUUUUUAAAUAUUACAAAAUUUGGUUUCUAAAUAUUUCUAAUUGUGUAGAUCAACUUCAACGGUGCCGAUUAUUAAUUUGAAGUUCCGAUCAUUCAAAUCGACUUGAUAGGACAAGGGUCCCAAUCCUAUUAAUAGGAUAGUAGCCGGACCCAUAUCUAUAACUCCUAUACCUUAUUUAUCUUCUAUACAUUAUUUCUUAUUGAGUUUGUCACGUGGUAAUUCUUUCUUCACUUUCCUUACUUAUAUGUUAUUUUUUAUGAAGUUUGUGACGUAGCAAUUCCUUCUUCACUACACUUUUCACUCCCUGAUGUUUCGCCUUCCCAUAUCAUAUCUGUCCAAUGAUUCGACUUUUCACUCGCCCACUUUCUAAUUAAUGAAGUCACAUGAUCCAGUUUCAUGUAAACGUACAAAUUAUUUUAAAGAAAAGAGUAAAAUAAUAUCUCUUUAUGCUCUUUUUUAUCAAUUUUUUUUUUCUCUUUGGCGCACAAAAAGGAUUCGAUUUUUAUAUUUUUUUUAAUCUUUGAGUUUCAAAAAUCGCGGCAGCAUGGCGUGGAGGUGGAGUACGAUAAAUUUGGAGUUGAUGAGGGGGAAGAAGCGAUGGGUGUGGGCCUGGGGGUAUCCGUAUGGCAUCGACGUGGACGUGGCUAUGGUCAAGGAGAAGCUCGACGCCGAUAAUGACGGUGGAGGCGACGUGGAGAACGGGAAUCACCUUAUCGAUCUCGACAAUGACAAUCAAGAUGCGUAUGGAGUAAUAACUCUAUUACCGAUUCUUUCAGUAAUGUUAUAUACAAUUUAUUUGUUGUUGUAAGUUUUAUUAUAUUUGUAUACAUCUAUUUUAUAUUUUCAAUUUGUAUUUAUUGAUAUCUUAUGACAAGUAAAAAAAUUUUAAACUUUAACUUUGUCCAUUUUUUAUCUUCUAUAGUAUUAGUUCACGGUAACGCAGCUUUCUCCUUCGCCGCCAUCGCUGUUAAGCGCCCCUCACACAGCCAUCCCCUUUUUCUACCGACGACCGCGCGCGAUGAGGUCGCGGCGCCCGCGCGCGAUGAAGUUGCAAUGUUAUAAGGGAACGUUGUACUAUUUUAGAGAAAACUUGCACUCUUUAAGAGAAAAAUUAUAUUUUUUUGGACGAAAGUUGCACUUUUUGAAGAAAAAUUGCACUCUUUUGGCAAAAAUUACACUGUUUCUCCUCUUCCUCCUCUUUCUUCUCCUUUAUCUUCAUUUUCGUGUGUUUUUUCUUUGCCUAUCUUUUCUUCGCCCUCCACUUCCGUCGGCAAAUCCUCCGCCCAUCUCUCUUCGACUCUCUUUUUUUUUUUCCCUCUCUGUCGGCAGAUCCUCCAUCUUCUGCCCCGCACACCCUCGCCCGUGCUCGCAUAUGCCUGUUCGAGUUAAAAAAAAAGAGAGAAAGCGCAUAUAUAAAAAAAAAAGUAUAGAUCCUAAUUAGAGUAGAUGUCAUAUUCUACCUAAAUUCAAAAAAAGGGGGGAAACAAAAGAAGGAAGGUAUUCAAAAUAAAACAAAAAAAGGGCAUAAUUAGUUGAUUGAGAUUUGUUUCCUCAAUAAGUUGAUUUUUUUUAAAUUAUUCCCAAAUGGGAAUCACCUUGGAAUCUUAUAUAAAAUAAGCUCCAAAUUUUGAAAUGGGGUUGGAGAGAGAUCCGAAAGAGAACAAAAAAAAAAAAAGCAGAAGAAAGAAAAAGAAGAACAGAAGAAAAAAAAAAAAAAGGGUGAGAAACAAAAAAAGAAAAAGAAAAAGGAGAGCUUUACACUCCCUCCUCUCUCUCUCUCUCUCUCUCUCACUCUCUCUCUCUCUCUCUCUCUCUUUCGUGUACGGGUACCAAAGGGGAAGCCCCUUUUGGGGUCUUGCUGGCAGAGGGGGGUGCCAUGUGCACCCCUCUCCAAUCCGUACACAAACAAAAAAAAAGAGAGAAAGGGUUUGACUCUAACGACGACGUGACGGCGACGACUUCGACGACGGCACGACAACGACGAUUUCGACAACGGCAACCACAAUAAUUUCUACAAUAACAGGAGAUACACAUGCGUACGCAUAGCGUAGGUGUGAUUUUUUUGUUGGUUUGAUCAACCCGACCAUCUUCGUGAUAGGUUUCGAACCGAUCAAAUUUAACAUCAAAUCAUCACUUCCGCCAUGCGUAUGUAUUGUUAAUCUCCAAGCCGUGCGGCCAUCUUCGUGAUAAGCUCGACAUGGUCAAAAUAAUUUGAUUGAACCAGAGGUUUUAUUACGUAAGCUGUGCGGCCAUCUUCGUGAUAGGCUCGACAUGGGUAUAAAAAAAUCGUGCGGCCAUCUUCGCGAUAGGCUCGACACGAUUAAACUCCGUAAAGCGCGAAAAAAAAAAUAAUAAUAACAUGAAGAAUGAUGAUAAAUAAUGGACGGGUUUUGAUUCGUCAUUUCGUAUAUUUGGACAAAUAAACAAAAAUAAAAAAAGAAUAAAAAAAAAACGAAAGAGAAAAAUGACAGAGAGAGUUGGGUUGCAACUCUUUUUACUCCCUCCCUGGCAGUGAACAAAAAAAAAAGAAAAAAAAAAAGUAGAAAAAAAAAAUUGAGUAAAGAAGAAAAGAAAAAAAUUCAAAAAAGAAGAAGAAGAGGGAGUUGACCUCCCUCUCCCUCUGACGGUUAACAAAAAAGGAAAAAAAAAAAAGAGAAAAGAAAAAAGGAAACGAAAAAAAAAGAAGAAAAAAAGAAGAAUGAAAUCGGAGUUAUUUAAUUUAAUGGGUUAAUCCAUUACGGGCCCAAUUUCAUAAGCAAUCAAAAAUAAUACAGAGCCCAUAUACAAAUUCGGGUCCAAGGCCCAAAACAUGUGGAGCCCGAAAUCCAGCCCAUGUGCAGGUAUAAAUCAAUAAAAGUCCAGCCCAUAUACAGGUUCGGGCCCAGAACAUGUAAAGCCCGCAGCAUACUUCAACCCACAUAUAGAUUCGGGUCCAAGGCCCAAAAUAUGCAAAGUCUGAAAUCCAUUUCAGCCCACAUUCAGAUUUGGAUCCAAAGCCAAUAAAAACAUAUGAAUAAAAUCCCUCAACCCAAUCCCACAAAGUCCACAAACAAAGAUCCACAACCCAAACCCACAAAGUCCACAAAUAAAAAAACCCAAAAAAACACCAAACCCACAAAGUCCACAAAUAAAAAACCCAAAAACCCAAAAUCCACAAAGUCCACAAAUAAAGAUCAAAAACCCAAAGUCCACAAAGUCUACGAAUAAAGAUCCAAAACCCAAAGUUCACAAAUAAAAAUCCAAAAUCCAAAGUCUACAAAUAAAACCCAACCAAAUCUAUCAAAUCUAUGUCACCCAAAUACCUCCAACCCAAACCAAAUUCAUGGGCUUCCCAAAUGGGCCCCUCACUAUGAAUUAAUUCUAUGAAUUAAUUUUUUGGGCUUUCCAAAUGUAUUCCCUAUCACGAAUUAAUUCUAUGAAUUAGUUUCAUGGAUCCUCUUUGUCAUAAAUUAAUAUCAUGAACCAAUGGGCUCUCCAAAUGGCCCCUAUCAUGAAUUAAUUUCAUCAAAUAACUUGGUGGACUUUACAAAUGGGUUCCUAGCAUUAUUUAAUUUCAUGAAUCAGUUUCAUGAAUACCUCGAUUUCAAUCGACCGAAAAGUCGUUAAACUAAACCCAAAUUUCAAACGACCGAAAAGUCGUUAAACUAAACCCAAAUUUCUUGAAUCAUGAACUAAAUCCAUACACCAAACCUCGCGGUACUGGGAGAAAAAAAGAGAGGCUGCAAGGAAGUGGCAGAGAGGCGAAGAAACGUUAUCAUUUCUUCUAUUAUAGUGCAGGAGAAGGAGAAGAAAAGAAGAAAGCAAGAAAAAAAAAAGAGAAGUUGGAUGGAAGUGGCGGAGACGCUGGGAGGUGCUGUUAUUGCUCCUGCCGCGGUGUAGGAGAAGGAGGCGGAAGCGGCUAUUGUUAAAGUGUGUCCUCUUGAGCUUCGCUCACUGGUACUCUUGCCUCUGUUCGUUUUUUUUACUGUUUUUUAUUUUUUUAUUUUUCGUUAUUUCUUAUUUUGUAUUUCUUUUUAUAAAUAUAAGAUGUUAUUUUUACUUCUUGGUUUCACUCUUCGGUUUUUUUCUUGAGUAGUUCAACGUUAUGAGGGAAGCUUGAGUCCUUGUAACUUGAUAAAGUCUUUUUACGGCUUGAGAAAUUUUUUUUUUUGAUGUGAACAAACGUGGCUUCAACGUAAGCUACAUUUCUUGUAAGGUGUGAUCCAUGGGGAGAUGGUGGUGAUAGUUUACGGAACUAUAAGAGGAGCACAUGAAGAUCGAGGCUUGGUACUGGUCUCAGCGGUACAAGGUUUUGAAGUUUCGCUCGUUCAGCUAGGAGUUCUUCAGCGUGAACAGAGGCGUUCAGUAGAAGGGAGAGUUGAUAGAACAUUUAGAGCGAGUGUGCACCGCCCUAGGAGGUGCGCUCCUGGUGCGGAAGCCAACAAUCGGUAGAACUUGGAUCUCGAGAGUAUGGUUCGACUGCGGCCUUGAAUCUCCCUUGCGCCUCUAUCCUGUUUAUAUUGUGCUAUUUAUGAGUUGGGCGGCAUCUUAGGUGGUGCAGCUUGAGUUCGUGUGAGUGGUGAUACACCUUAGGUGGUUGUGUUACCAACUCGUUGUGAGAAGAGAGUGUCUUUUAGGUGGAUUCUCUAUCCUCGUUCUUCUUUAGGAAGAAGAGUUUAUUUUCAUCUUUGAAUUUGAGUUGAACUGAACAAAAAGUAAUAUUUUUAGUAAUGUAUAAAUAUCCGAGAGUUUACUGGGAAGUAGAAGAGAUGUGUAAUUACGUGAGAAAUUAAAGUAUCUCUUUGAUUUUCCGUGAAAAUCCUUAUGAUUUUCUGUGUGUGUUUAGAUCUGAUAGUAUUGAGUAAAAUUCUUUUGCUUUUCUGUUAAUAUCUUUUUGCUUCCCUGUGUGAAUAAAGUUUUGCUUGUAAAUAAUUCACUAAUUACCGAAGUAGGUAGUUGAAGUCCUUGCCACAGUGUACCGAAGGUUGUCUGAGCUCUUAGACGACAAUUAAUGGGGUGUGAAAGCCACAAUUCCUUGGGAGCUAAUUCUCUGGUUUAUAUUUACGACUAUUAUUUUCUCUGUUUUAUCCGUUUAUUUUAAAAUAACUAUACUAAACGGCACAUGUACCGAAUUCGUCCCCGUAUGGGGGUGACAUGUAUUUAACUUAGGAUACAUAUACAUAAUCCUAAGUCAACCUAAACUCUAACUGAUCCAGGGUUCAUAUACACAAUUUUGGAUCAGUUAUAAUCUGAGAUAUAUAAUCUCAGAUUAACCGAGAUUCAUAUACAGAAUCUCAGGCUAAUACAGGUGGAACCAAUAUACAAGGUUCUACCUCUACACUGGUCUGGAGUACAUAUACAUAACUCCACCCAGCUUGAUCUAGGAUUCGUAUACACAAUUCUAGAUCAGCUAUAAUUUGAGGUACAUAAUCUCAGAUUGACCGAGAUUCAUAUACAGAAUCUCAGGCUAAUAUAAGUGGAACCAACAUACAAGGUUCCACCUCUACACUGGUCUGGAGUUCAUAUACAUAACUCCAUCCAGCUUAAUGGGUUUUCACUUCUCACCGAUUAAGGGCUCAUAUACAUAGUCCUAAUUGGCUCAAAGUGAGAUCAAUAUAUACGAUCUUACUUCCAGACUGAUUCGGGAUUCAUAUACAUAAUCCCCAUCAGCCUAAACUUGAGAUUCAUAUACAUAAUCUCGAGCUAGCCCAUACCCAAAGUAAGAUCCAUAUACACGAUCUCGUUUUCUGACUGAUCUGGGAUUUAUAUACCCAAUCCUGAUCAGCUCGUGCCGAACUGAAGGUGAGAUCCAUAUACACGAUCUCGUUUUCUGACUGAUAUGGGAUUCAUAUACACAAUCCCAAUUAGCUCGUACCAAACUGAAGGUGAGAUCCAUAUACACGAUCUCGUUUUCCGACUGAUCUGGGAUCCAUAUACACGAUCCCGAUCAGCCUACUUGAGAUUCAUAUAUACAAUCUCAAGCUUAUUUGAACUAUAGUAAACUGACUUAAAAUUCAUAUACUGAAUCUUGAGACAGCUAAACCUCUACAAAACGGAAUCAAUAUACACGAUUCUGCUAACUGAAUUGGGAUUUAUAUACAUAAUCCCCAUCAGCUAUAAAUUAAAAAUGAGAUCCAUAUACACGGUCUCAUUUUUUUUCCAAGUGCUACUCUAAACCCAUAACUGAGUACUCUAAACUCAUAACCGAGUACUCUAAACCAAGUACUUAAACCUAUACCAAGUACUUAAACCACAUACCUGAGCCAAGUACUUGAACCUAUACCAAGUACCUAAACCACAUACCUAGACCAAGUACUUGAACCUAUACCAAGUACCCAAACCACAUACCUAAACCAAAUACUUGAACCUAUGCCAAGUACCCAAACCACAUACCUAAACCAAAUACUUGAACCUAUGCCAAGUACCCAAACCACAUACCUAAACCAAGUACUUGAACCUAUACCAAGUACCUAAACCACAUACCUAAACCAAGUACUUGAACCUAUACCAAGUACCCAAACCACAUACCUAAACCAAGUACUUGAACCUAUAUCAGGUACANNNNNNNNNNNNNNNNNNNNNNNNNNNNNNNNNNNNNNNNNNNNNNNNNNNNNNNNNNNNNNNNNNNNNNNNNNNNNNNNNNNNNNNNNNNNNNNNNNNNNNNNNNNNNNNNNNNNNNNNNNNNNNNNNNNNNNNNNNNNNNNNNNNNNNNNNNNNNNNNNNNNNNNNNNNNNNNNNNNNNNNNNNNNNNNNNNNNNNNNNNNNNNNNNNNNNNNNNNNNNNNNNNNNNNNNNNNNNNNNNNNNNNNNNNNNNNNNNNNNNNNNNNNNNNNNNNNNNNNNNNNNNNNNNNNNNNNNNNNNNNNNNNNNNNNNNNNNNNNNNNNNNNNNNNNNNNNNNNNNNNNNNNNNNNNNNNNNNNNNNNNNNNNNNNNNNNNNNNNNNNNNNNNNNNNNNNNNNNNNNNNNNNNNNNNNNNNNNNNNNNNNNNNNNNNNNNNNNNNNNNNNNNNNNNNNNNNNNNNNNNNNNNNNNNNNNNNNNNNNNNNNNNNNNNNNNNNNNNNNNNNNNNNNNNNNNNNNNNNNNNNNNNNNNNNNNNNNNNNNNNNNNNNNNNNNNNNNNNNNNNNNNNNNNNNNNNNNNNNNNNNNNNNNNNNNNNNNNNNNNNNNNNNNNNNNNNNNNNNNNNNNNNNNNNNNNNNNNNNNNNNNNNNNNNNNNNNNNNNNNNNNNNNNNNNNNNNNNNNNNNNNNNNNNNNNNNNNNNNNNNNNNNNNNNNNNNNNNNNNNNNNNNNNNNNNNNNNNNNNNNNNNNNNNNNNNNNNNNNNNNNNNNNNNNNNNNNNNNNNNNNNNNNNNNNNNNNNNNNNNNNNNNNNNNNNNNNNNNNNNNNNNNNNNNNNNNNNNNNNNNNNNNNNNNNNNNNNNNNNNNNNNNNNNNNNNNNNNNNNNNNNNNNNNNNNNNNNNNNNNNNNNNNNNNNNNNNNNNNNNNNNNNNNNNNNNNNNNNNNNNNNNNNNNNNNNNNNNNNNNNNNNNNNNNNNNNNNNNNNNNNNNNNNNNNNNNNNNNNNNNNNNNNNNNNNNNNNNNNNNNNNNNNNNNNNNNNNNNNNNNNNNNNNNNNNNNNNNNNNNNNNNNNNNNNNNNNNNNNNNNNNNNNNNNNNNNNNNNNNNNNNNNNNNNNNNNNNNNNNNNNNNNNNNNNNNNNNNNNNNNNNNNNNNNNNNNNNNNNNNNNNNNNNNNNNNNNNNNNNNNNNNNNNNNNNNNNNNNNNNNNNNNNNNNNNNNNNNNNNNNNNNNNNNNNNNNNNNNNNNNNNNNNNNNNNNNNNNNNNNNNNNNNNNNNNNNNNNNNNNNNNNNNNNNNNNNNNNNNNNNNNNNNNNNNNNNNNNNNNNNNNNNNNNNNNNNNNNNNNNNNNNNNNNNNNNNNNNNNNNNNNNNNNNNNNNNNNNNNNNNNNNNNNNNNNNNNNNNNNNNNNNNNNNNNNNNNNNNNNNNNNNNNNNNNNNNNNNNNNNNNNNNNNNNNNNNNNNNNNNNNNNNNNNNNNNNNNNNNNNNNNNNNNNNNNNNNNNNNNNNNNNNNNNNNNNNNNNNNNNNNNNNNNNNNNNNNNNNNNNNNNNNNNNNNNNNNNNNNNNNNNNNNNNNNNNNNNNNNNNNNNNNNNNNNNNNNNNNNNNNNNNNNNNNNNNNNNNNNNNNNNNNNNNNNNNNNNNNNNNNNNNNNNNNNNNNNNNNNNNNNNNNNNNNNNNNNNNNNNNNNNNNNNNNNNNNNNNNNNNNNNNNNNNNNNNNNNNNNNNNNNNNNNNNNNNNNNNNNNNNNNNNNNNNNNNNNNNNNNNNNNNNNNNNNNNNNNNNNNNNNNNNNNNNNNNNNNNNNNNNNNNNNNNNNNNNNNNNNNNNNNNNNNNNNNNNNNNNNNNNNNNNNNNNNNNNNNNNNNNNNNNNNNNNNNNNNNNNNNNNNNNNNNNNNNNNNNNNNNNNNNNNNNNNNNNNNNNNNNNNNNNNNNNNNNNNNNNNNNNNNNNNNNNNNNNNNNNNNNNNNNNNNNNNNNNNNNNNNNNNNNNNNNNNNNNNNNNNNNNNNNNNNNNNNNNNNNNNNNNNNNNNNNNNNNNNNNNNNNNNNNNNNNNNNNNNNNNNNNNNNNNNNNNNNNNNNNNNNNNNNNNNNNNNNNNNNNNNNNNNNNNNNNNNNNNNNNNNNNNNNNNNNNNNNNNNNNNNNNNNNNNNNNNNNNNNNNNNNNNNNNNNNNNNNNNNNNNNNNNNNNNNNNNNNNNNNNNNNNNNNNNNNNNNNNNNNNNNNNNNNNNNNNNNNNNNNNNNNNNNNNNNNNNNNNNNNNNNNNNNNNNNNNNNNNNNNNNNNNNNNNNNNNNNNNNNNNNNAUGACACCGUUCCUGAAGUUGAUGGAUGAAGCCAUUAAUCACUUAAUAAAUGUUCGUUUUGAAAUAAGUGUGUCCCUUCGUUUUUCUAUAAUUGUCUUUUCAUUUUCUUAAAAUGAGUUAUGAUAGUCUAGAUUUGUGUGUGUCUUUUAGUAUUCCUAAAAGUGCCUUUUAGUUUCUCUAUGAAAUUAAAGAGUGCAUUAAUGUGUAGAGAAGAUGAAGGGUCAUUUGAGAGCCUAUAAAUAUGUAAUGAUUUUUAUAAUGAAAAACAAGUCAAGUUGAGUUUAAGUUUCUACUUUUAUUUGAGAAGAAGGAUUUCUUCUUGCUCCUAUCUCUUAGGUGGAUUUUCUGUGAGAGAAGAGUGUUGCUCAACCAUUGUGUUGGUGGAUUCCACAUAAUGGUGAGUGUGCUUGAGUUCGACGUGGUGGAUUCUACGGCGGGUUGAGUAUUUACCGUGUUAUAUUUGUCAUAUCUCCGCGUUCCCUCUAAGUUCCGGCAUCACCAUGAACCUAUUCCAACCCUCCUCCACCGCCAGAGUGGGAAAAAAAAGAGAGUUGGAGAGAGAUGGCCAGCAGAGGAUCUGUCAAUGAAGGUGGAAGGCGAAAAAGAUAUGGGCGGAGAAGAAAUACACGAAAAGAAGAGAAAGGAGAAGAAAGAGGAGGAAGAGGAGAAAGAGUGCAAUGUUCAUUCAAAGAAUGCAACUUCCGUCCAAAAAAGUGUAAUUUUUUUUUUUAAAGAGUGCAACAUUUUUCUGAAAUAGUUCAAUGUUCCCUUAAAAUAUUGCAACUUCAUCAUUCUUUUUUUUUCUCCUUUGAUUCUUCAUUUUUAUUGUAGAAAAAAAUAUUUUUCUUUAUGUUUUAUUCUUUAUUCUUUUUAUUUUUUUAUUUUUUGUAUUUUUUUUCCUCGUCUCCGCUCUCAUCCACACUCACUUCGAGUUCUCCUUCUCUGGUAUCGACGAAGGCGGAGGAAGAGGAUGUGGCGCCGUCCUCGUUAUUGUCGUGGAGGGUCGCAGAGGCGGUGAAGGUAGGUUGAAGAGAAAAAAAAAAGAACGAAAGAAGAAAAGAAGAGGAAGAGGACGUGAUAUUAUCUUCUUUACUAUUGCAAAGAAGCGGAGAGACGGUGAAGGAACGUCGGAGAGAAAAAAAGAGGGUCAUGGCGCUCGGUGGGGUCAGAGGCGAGGAAAGUGGAGGGAGGGUGCGGGCGAGGGCGAGAGCGAGAGAGAGCCGAACAGAGGCAAGGCGGGCUGCCCCCGCCUUCGCCAUUUUCUUCGAAGAGAAAGAAGAAAAAGAACAAGAGAAAAAAAAAAGAGAGAGAAAAAAGAAUAAAGGUAUUUUGAUCAGUUUCUUGAAAAAUCCGACCCAAAUCUGCAAAAUAAAAAAUAGUGACCCACUUUUGCAAAACCUCAAAACUAGUAAAUUUUUUAUGCAAAUUGGCCUUCUUUUUUUUAUUGAAUAGAAAAAAAAAAGAAAAUGUAAAAACACCUUUAAAUGUUGCAGUUUGGCACAUAGGUGCCUCAAUUUUAAAUGUUGACAACUAAACCCCCUAAAGGUUGCGAAAUAGUUCAAAAGAUCCUUCUCAAUCAAAAAUUCUGAUCAAACAUCAUUCUCGACAAAUAUCUUGUAUGUUAUUAUGUAAAGAUUUUAAAACAUAUUAAAAUUUGUCUAUUUUAUUCUACUACUUGAGAAAAAAGUAAAAUUUAAAUUAUAAAAUGAAGUACUAUGUUUUUACUUGAGAAAAAAGUUAAAUUUAAAUUAUAAAAUGAAGUACUAUGUUUCAUUGCUUUAUAAUUUUAAAAAUAUUUUAUUUUAUUAUCUUAUAGCAGAGCCCCCCCCCCCCCCCCCCCCCCCAAAAAAAAAAAAACAUUAGAAACCUCCAUACAUUUUUUGUUUAUUCAAAUACACCUAUUUUAAAAUGAAAAAUGCUAGACCUACAACCCAGAAAAAAAAAAGGUAAUCCAACAAAUACAACCAUUCCAAUCCCAUAAAGAAAAGCCAGAAAAGUAAAAAAUUCAUGUUACUUACUUUUCUUUAUGGUAUCGAGUAAAAUGUUUUAUAUUUAAAUCACACUAGGCUCAUAGCAUAACUGACGUUUUCCUGUUUAAUACAAAAUCAUAUAAUGUUAUAUAAAAAUUCUCAACUUGAAUGCGAGGAGAGUGUUAAAUAUAAAAAUACUAUUCCCUACCUGCUUAAACUAUUACAAAUAAAUGGCUAUUCCUUAUAUAACUCUUAAAGGUAAAAAAUAUAUAAAACUUAAUUAAUUUUGAACCGACUAUCCAAACUUUCAAAUUGUAAUUUUACUAUAUAGUCUUUUAAGUUAUUUAUUUUGAAUCAGUCAACGACACUUUGACUUUAAAAAUUUAAAUUAUUAGUUACAUUAAUAAAUUUAGAGUUUUGAGAAUUUUAUGAAAUAUACUAACUAAAGCUGUACAGAAAAAAAUAAUAUAUUUAAUUUUUGAAGUCAAAAUACUGUUGAUUGAUUCAAAUCAAACUAAUUAAAAGUUUUGAUAAUAAAAUAAAAAAAAUUAAAAUAUCAAAUAAUAAAAUAAAAUAAAAAUAAUUUACAGUUCAAAUAAAUUUCGUAUAUUUUUAUCCUUUCUUUUAAACUAAAUCCAAAGGAGAUUGAUAAAUCCCUCGUACAAGAGGCCCUAAGGAUUACAAUCUCUCAGUAUGGUUGUAGACUUAGCAUUUCCUUUAAUAAAAUUUCCUGUAUGUGCAGCGCAAGUGGUAAAGAGUUCGGUGGUUGGUAACCGAAGUCCCAAAUUGAAUCCUGGUUGAUUCAUAUUUCUAACUAGGUUUAUUUCUAAAUAAAAUAAAUAAAACGAAUAGCAUGCUUUCUAUCUCUAUAAAAAAAAAAAAAAAAAUCUGUGUGCCUUGCGCUGAUAAAGCUGCUACUUUUUAUUAAAUCUAGGGCUUUUUUUGCAAAUGGCUUCCUGAAAAAAUUUUAUUUUAAAAAUAAUCCUGUCAAAAUUUAAUUUGCAAAAACGACUCUGGCCCUGUCACGUAGGCGCCACGUCAGCGCCACGCGGGCAGGGCUGGAGCCGGUGUGUUAAGUUAAACACGAUAAACCAUUCACCGUGUUCAAAUACGAUGAAUGAUUCACUGUGUUUCAUAUUUAUAUUCAUUUUCUUUUCUUUUAGGGAUGUCAACGGGUCGGGUUUGGAUCAGGUUUUUAAAAACCCGAAAUCGAAUCCGAAAAAAAAAGAAAAUGAAUAUAUAUAAAUAUGAAACACGGUGAAUCAUUCAUCGUGUUUCAACACGGUGAAUGGUUCACCGUGUUCAACUUAACACAUUAGCCCCAGCCCUCCCCGCGUGGCGCUGAUGUAGCGCCUGCGUGGCAGGAUCAGGGUUAUUUUUGCAAAUUAAAUUUUAAUAGCGUUAUUUUUAAAAUAAAAAUUUGCCAGGGACUAAAUUGAAAAAAAAAAACCUUAAAUCUAUAAAAUGGUUUCUAAUUCAGACAAGAGUUGUACGCUUUCCUUUCUUGUUCUUUUAACUGCAACUGAAAAAAGAGAUUGGUAAACUAAACCCCUCAUCCAAGAGUUCUUUUUCUAUUUAAGGAUUAGAGUUCUUAGAGCCUCGAGUUUUAUUAAACAUAAAUUUAUUAAGUUUUUAAUUUGUAAAAAUAAUUUUAUGAAAAUUGUAUUUGUAAAAAUUAUAGAUAUAAUUGUAAAUUAUCUGCUUUUUGUUUGUAUUAUCAUUCAACAACGACUCGUCAGCUUCAGCUAUUAAAAUUAAAAUACUAAACAAGGUGCAAAAUAUAAACCUAUUUCCUUCUUUCAAAUAAUAAUAACAUAUAUAAAAUUUUAAUAAUUUCAACUUAACCCUAAUUUAUUUAUCUAUUUUUUUUUUUAAAAAAAAUCCUUCCAUAUGUAUCUGGAACGUUCCAGUCUUCUCUUCCUUGGGACUAUAUAUUCUUCCGUCUGUCUGUUGUCUCCAUUUUGAGCUGCUGUGACGUCUGCCCGAUCUCGAACGUUUUCAAAGGUCCAAAACUUGUUCCGCCGGCGAGUUAGGAUGAGGUGAGUUUGCAAGAUUUAAUCUUUCUGCUGCCUCCACUUCUUUUUUGGUUUUCUAUAAUUGGCAGUCUGAUCCCACCGGACACAGCAAUCGGGCUUAAUAUGUGAAAGAUGAAAGCAGUCGGAUGCUCCAUUUCUUUUUGAACGAACCGCUCAGAAAGUUGUUACAUGCUGCCAACGGAGAAUCUUUACAAGUUAGACGCAAAUUAUCACAAGUGCUUCUUUGCAUUUCUAGUGUUUUUUACUCAAACCUCGUUUUUGUUUUACGAACUCCGUUUCCUUUGACGAUACUUUCCAUAUGCAAAGAGGUAAAAUAACAGAGCCUAGCUUUGAAUGGUUACGACGACACCCAUGAGUAGGGGUGGAAACGAGCCGAGCUCGAGCGAGAGCGAGCUUACCUAGGCUCAAAUUCGGCUUGAAAUUAAUUUCGAGCCUAAAUUUAAGCUCAAGCUUGGAUUGAAAUUAAUUCGAGCCGAGCUCGAGCGAGCCUAAUUUCGAGUCGAGCGAGCUCGAGCCCUAAACGAGCCGCUUGAAAUUCUCAACAUCAUACGAUCAAUAGUUUAAUUUGUAUAAAAUCUUAUCUAUAAUUUCAUACAAAAAUAUGUCAAAUAGUUCAAAGUACAAAAUAAUUAUAUGAAAUAUAAUAUUAUAAUAUCAAAAAAAAUUAUGAGUUGAAUAUCUCAUCUUUUCCGCCUCACAUGUUUUUUUUUUCGCCUUCAAUCUCCAUAUUAUUCAUUUUUAUUUAUGCAAUCAAAAAUAAAUAAAUUAUAUAGAUAAAUAUUGGAUUAAACUAUCCAAUCAUAUAUAACUAAAAUUAAAAUUUUAUAUGAAUAAUAAUUUUUUACUUUAAAAAUAUUCUGUAUAUUUUUUCAAGCAUAUAAUUAAUAGCAAGGUAGCCAACGGCGGGCAUAUGAUGUUACUUGGUAACAUAGAGGGCUUCCGACUUGGCCACUUAGGGUGAGAGACAGAAAAAGAGAAAGAGAGAAACAUAUUGAAAAUUUAGAGCUCUGUGAAAGAAAGAAUGAAAGAGUAAAUGUAUAAAUUUAGUGAAAUUUUGCUCUUUUAUUUGUCUAUUGGGUUUGUUUUUAUGGGCCAACAGCAUUGACCCAAUUUUAACUAAACUCAGAUUAUUCACUCAGCUUAUAUAUAAUUAAAAUAUAAUAUAUUUAUAUAUUUUUUAAUAUAUAUAUAUAUAUAUAUAUAUAUAUAUAUUCGAGCAUUUCGAGCCUAAUUCGAACGAGCCGAGAAAUACUCAAGCUUGGCUUGAAAUGAAUUUCGAGCCUUUUUUUUUGUUCAAGCUCGGCUCAUUUAAUUUCAAGUCGAGCUCGAGCGAGCCAAAUAUCGAGUCGAACGUGAGUCGAACGCGAGCCGGCUCGCUCAUUUGCCAGCCCUACCCAUGAGAGGAGGCGAGGGUAGUACAGUUUAUAAGACCUCAGUGAUUCGAUAAUAGGAGUUGAGCUGGAAUGCUAUCAGCGGCAAACGGAUUCCGUUGCCACCUAUUGUUUUUGAUGAUGAAGCCUUUGAAUAUGAUCUAUCCCGCUUGAAGUAUCUAGAAACUAUAUUUUAAAUGAUUGCAACAUCAUUGAUCUAAAGAUCAAAGGGUUUCAAAAUUUAUAAUUUUAAUGGUCAAUACGAGUCAUUUUCUCGUCUACCGGCGUAAAAAUAUUCAAAUCAAUUAAAUUUUGGUUAGAAAAUUAUUUAAACUAUUUAAAACAAGAUUUGUACUUUUGAUCUUGAUUAUAAGAUUUUUAUCAUCACUUUUUAAAGGAUAUUUGCUUUUAGCCGUUCAUUUUUGUGUCCAUUUGAUAGAUAAGAGAACAAUAUCGAAAAAGUAUGAAAUAUGCUUCAAGUGUUUAUAGAUUAUAUUCAACAGUGCUGAUCGUCGAUUUGAAGGCUUUAUCAUAAAAAACAAAUAGAUAGCGACGGAGCUCGUUUACUAUUAAUAGCAUUCCAGCUCAACUCUCCUUAAUAGAUGCAUGAAAGUAAACCAAUGCACAGCCAUUAAGUAGAGUCAUCAGUUAUUUAAAAUAAUAAUAAUAAUAAUAAUAGUAAUAAUAAAUAUUUAUAAAUCCUUAUUUUUUAGCGACGGCAAGAUGAUUCUUACUUAUAUCGUUUUUGUUAUAGCCGUCAUCCAACUCUGAAGUGGGCCCAGAGGUCUGACAAAUUGUACCUCACAAUCGAUCUUCCAGACGCAAAGGAUGUGAAGCUCAAUCUCGAGCCUGAAGGAAAGUUUACCUUCUCUGCCACAAAAGAUGGUGCUCCGUACGAACUUAAUAUCGAAUUGUUUGAUAAAGUUGACACUAAGGUGAAGAAAUCAAUGUUAUCGUUGUGUCUCGAAUAAAAAUGUUAGUUUCUAACUAAUGCUGACACAUUGUAGGAGAGUAAAUCUAAUAUUGGUGUAAGGAACAUCGUAUGCGUCGCGAAAAAAGCUGAGAAGAAAUGGUGGAGUCGAUUACUGAAACAGGAAGGGAAACCGCUUGCAUUUGUUAAAGUUGACUGGGAUAAGUGGAUUGAUGAGGAUGAGGAGGAUGGUAAGAUAAGACUAAUGAUGUAUUUUCCUUUUUUCAGCAUAUAUAUUGAACUGCUUCACGUAUUUGGUGUACAAUUGCCUUGCUGAACAGAGAAAGCUGGCGUGGAUUUCGAAGACCAGGAUUUAUCGGUAUGAUUCAAAUGCUGCUAUCGUUAAAUUUUCGGUGUUUUGUUCAUAUAUAUUGUAUUUAAAUUGCAGUUACAGACUCAAGAGUAGUGCGCACUUCUAGCGGAAAGAAAUGGGUUGUUCUCAGUUGAGACAAAAGAUAAGAAAAGGGUAAUCUAAUGUAUGAUGCCCAUACCUUAGUAGGAUUGCAUAUUUAAUACUAGUGUGUGAUUGAAUAAUUAUAUAUUUUAUACCAUAUUUCAUACAGGUGUGUGAUCGAAUAAACAUGCGCACACAUCAUAUAGACUUUAUUAGAGUCAUUGCUCAGAGAUCAUGUUUUUCUCCAUUCGACUUUGAUUGUUUACAUUAGUAGCUUUUCUGCUUUAAUAAUGAAAGGCAUUUAAUGCUAGGCAAAUCUUAUGAACAUGCUAGUGUUUGAUUUCUUCAUAUUGUGCAGUGUUCAAUGUUAUGAAAUUCCUAGUAAUGUUCCUAAAUAAGGGCAUGAUUGUGAAUAUGCAGAAGAAGAAAAGGCGAAAAAAGAAGUUAAAGAAGAAGACAAACCCGCUGCAGCAGAUAUUUCGGAAAUUGAAGCUUGAUUGCAUUGGUGUGGCAUAAUCGAAAGGAUUUCAACUUGAUAGCUUGACAGAUUAACCAGCUAAAGAAAAGGUUUGGAGUGCUUACUCGGCAAAUCUCCUUCAGUGUUCCUGUCAUUUUGCAGUGAAGCAAAGAGCUUUUUCCUUAGCAUGUAAACAAGUUGUACAGAACCUGUGUAAUCAUGUAAUCAUGUGUGUUUGUUUGUGUAAUCCCAUGUGGUCUUUUAUCAUGAUAAUAUAUAUAUAUAUAUAUAUAUAUAAGAGGCUUCUAUUGACUGUAAGUGGACAUGUAUCUACUGAUCACAAACAAUGGGCACAAAAAUGAUCAACCUCUUUCAACAAAAUUUUCUUUAUUUUUUUUUUAAAUAGCGCCACUAAGAUCGAAACAGAGAUGCAAAAGGAGGAUUAAUCUAAAAAUGUAGAAUAACCCAUAUUCCUGGGAAAAGUCUAACAACUCGAGUUAAACAGGCUGGCACCGCCAGAGAAAGCACACAAAACAACUUACAUAUGCACUCAGAGAAUUUUGGGGAUAGCACUAUAAUUAUUGGGUGGUCACACUUUUUGCGAGAUUCCUUGGUUGGUCCACAUCAUGUCCGCGAAGAACUGUGAGAUGGUAUGCAAGUAACUGCAGAACAACAGCAUAGUCUGAGAGUUCAUAGGCCAUCAAGAAGUGAAGAAGACAUUAUGUGCAAAUUAAAUUUGCUUAUUAAUGGAAAACAUAGAGCACAAUCAAACUUUAUAUCAACUACGAAUCAUGCCAGUAAAAAGCACUUCAUCGUUGUUUUAUUUCUAGUUUCUCAAAUAAAAGAUGCAAACGGGCCAAAUGCCUUCUAAAACUCGAAAUCAUGUCGUCUGUAACAAAAGUUAGCAACUCAUAAGAGAAGGAAAAGUUUGGAUGUACCUGCAAUGGUAUGAUGUUGAUUACUGGUUGAAGACAGUCUUCAACUUGAGGGACUUCAAUAAAUCUACAAGAUUCAUUAGGGCAUACAUUUGAUGUGUCUCCCUCUGAGCACAUGAUUAUUAGACGGCCUUUACGGGCCUGAAGUUGCUGAAUAACUGAUUGCUGCUUACUGAGGAAAAGGACAAAAUAUCAACAGUGAGAAAAAGAUAAAACUUAUAUACCCAAGCAAAAUUGUCUAAUUACAAAAUGUCACUAGAAGAUCCGAAUUAUUACAUAUGCCCUUCAAAAAUAUCUAUGACAAAUCAGAUUUUGCGGUGGAGUAUAGAUGUCAAUAAAUGAUUAUUUUCAGGAACAUUGUGUGUGACCGUAAAUAUCGUUAUCCGACGAUAAUAGAUGUUGGUUAGUUCAAAGAAGCUAACCUGAAACAGUCAUCCCUAGUGGCAAUGACGAUGACAGGGAGAGUCUCAUCUACUAGUGCCAACGGCCCAUGCUUCAUUUCUCCAGCAAGCAGGCCUUCACUGUGCAUGAGUGCGACUUCUUUUACCUUGAGAGCGCCCUCCAUAGCAGUGGCAUAGUUGUAGCCUCUCCCAAAUAUAAGGAGUGAUUGAGUGUCGAUCAACGAUACUGCAAGAUCUUUCAUUUCGUUAUCAAGUUUUAAGACCUCACUUACUUUGCCUGCAAAAAGAAUGAAAGAGCUGAUCAAAUAUUCAGUAAAUUACGUUGUAACAAAGUUUACUUACACCAAACUAUAUGCUGUCCAUACCUGGCAGGCCUGAAAGAUUCUUAGCAAUAGCUUCACUUCUAGUUUGACUGGAUGUUCUGUCAGCUCCAAUAGCCAAUGCCAUCAUGGUCAUAACUAUUAUUUGACUAGUGUAUGCCUGAGAUGUCAUAGUGAAAAUGAUAUCAUAAAUCUAGAGCAAUAAGUAGUCCUAUGAAAAACAAGAAGAGAUAAAUAAGUAAUAGGAUAUAUAGCAAAAGACCCAUAGAAUAAAGUACAUAACAAAUAUUACCUUGGUACUAGCAACACCAAUUUCACAACCGGCAUUUAUAUGAACACCGCAGUGUGUUUUUCUGGCCAAUGUGCUACCAACAGUAUUUGUGAUACCAACACACAACGCCCCACAUUUUAAGGCAUAUUCGAGGGCAAGAAGAGUAUCUGCAGUCUCACCAGAUUGACUGACGAAAACUGCUGUUGCAUCUCUGUAUAUUGGACCUUGUCUAUCCAGCAAGUCACUUGCAAUCUCCAUUGUGACAGGAAUACCUUGUUUUCAAAGAGGAAAAUAGUAAUUAUAGGAGAAAAAUUAUAAUUCUGAUGAAACAUUGACAUGCAUACCCCGAAAUAUUGUCUAUAUACAGCUGUUAUGACAAAAGUAUGAUUUUCUAAUAAUAGUUUCUCUUGUAUUUUCUGAUAAAACAAACUUCUCCUCAUAAACAGGAUGAUUUCCCAUACCAAGGUAAGGGUAUUUAUAAGAAACAACACAUUUAAAAGGUAUAUAUGAAAAUUCAGAUACUUAGAAGUAUAUACAUAAAAAGAGAAUUUUGUAGGGAGAUACAUAUAUAAAUAUUCAUUACAGGUGUACAUACAUAUAAGAAAGCCCCUGAGCUAAAUUAUGCAGAAAAAUUAGAAGUGAGUGUAAUAUACCUGAUAACUCUUCGAUCAAUGGUCUGGCAGCUAAGGCUGCAUUAUAACUUGUACCACAUCCAAUGAAGAUGAUCCUUCUGCUAUGCCUUAUUGUUUUGAGAUGAGCCUUAAGUCCGCCUAAAACGACACCAUUAUUUUUAAGUCUUCCUCUCAUUGUCGUAGUUAGAGAAUGCGGUUGCUCGUGGAUUUCUUUUUGCAUGAAGUGGUCGUAAUUUCCCUUCUUUAUUUGUUCAACCUCCAUCUCGAGAACAGACAAUGCCCGCUGCACCGAUGCUGGCUUUUCUUUGCUGUAGUCAAACUUGAGGAUUUGUACAUUGCCAUCCUGGUGUGGUCAAAAAAUUGAAGUAUUAAUAGCUAUUUAACAUGUGUAAGCUCUGCUUUUGCCUAACAUGCAUGCAGGCAAGGAGCAAAUCCUCAUGAAUUCUCUAUAAAUGGAAGAACCUUGAUGAAUGGAAAAGUGAAACAUAGUAAAACACAAUCUUAAAGUUCCCUAACCUUACUGCAUUUUUUGGCUAAGAUGAACAUGCAAAAGAUAAGGAAGAAAAUAGAUCAUGCUGCUUUAAAAAAGCAAAGAAGGAAAAAAAAGAAAAAGCAUUCUCUGUAGGGAAGCUAGGAUAGUACAAAGAUAACAAAAACAGGAAGCAAAAAGUGGAAAGGAGCAUCACUGAUUAUGCCAAAAGAGUAUUGAAAAAGCAGAUAAUACCAUAAUGUGAACCACUUCAUUGUCUUCAAUGGCCAAAUAAUUUUUAGUAUGCUCCACAAUAGCACAUACAUCACUAGAGAAGAAAAGCUCUUUCGACUUGCUAGUAGUUACACUAUCUUCAGCACUUAGUUCCUGAAAAUAAGAAAAGAUUUCGAAACAAAAAUCGUAAGUUGGAACUGCAAUGUAGAAAAUUUGAGAAUUCAAGCAAUAGCAUGUUUGAUGAUUAUAAAAUAAAAAAGAAUCUAUCAAGAAGUAGUAAGCAUCCAGUUUUAUAUAAGAUCUAAUGGUUGAGUUCUUAAGAAAUUCAAAUACUCUUGCAUAAGGAAAGAAGGGCUUAAAAUAAUAUCAUUGUAAUCCUUAAGUAUUUAACAUUAAGCUUCUUCAAAUGAAAUUACUAGUUCAAUAUUUGAAAAACCUUGAGGGCCUUGCCUUGGUGGGUGAGGCCCCUCAAGUUUUGCUUUAUAUACAAAAAGAAAGUUUAAGGAAGUACAUAACAAAGCAUUGAAUCAAGCAAGGCAUAAAGGAAAUUGAGAAUAAGGUUAAUGUAUUGGCCUUUCAAAGGAAACAGUAUAAUAAAUCAACAAUUUCACUAAUUAAAUUAUGAAUAUUUGAAUAAUGUAAAGAAACAUGUUAUUAUAUCUUCCAGCAUUAUCUAUUGGUUAAAUACUUUUGACCAUCCCAUCCGAUUGACCACAUCUAAUGCUGUUGUCUCAAUAGAAAGGAUUACCAUUUCAUCUACCUUAACUAGAAGAAACUAGCAGCAUUAUCUCCUUAUUAUCAUUUAGCAUGCCUUUAUAUGGUGGCGACAGUAGAAGUACAAGAGUUUAACUUAGAAGUCUCUCCUUGCUAAUACAGAGUGAAUCCUUCUUCAAUAUAUCCGGAUCACUUUUUAUAAAAUUAAUUUCUCUAGUUUACACCAAUGAUAUAUGUCCUAAAUAUUUUACUAAAUGAUCAAAGAAAACAAAUCAUGGUGUCAUUGUUCGAUCAAAGGAACCAAAAAUGGGUAAGCUUUAGCAAUGAAUGGCAAGCUUCAAUAAGUCACUUUAAUCUUUUCGCCCAAAAAUGUAUGGAUGUAUUGUUUUUCCCUCAUCUCUAUUUUUAAUGAGUUCACAAGAUUUUGGGUGUGAAAUUGACUAACGUACAUGUUAAGACACUGCGAAAUCCUAAAAUCUACAUGGGCUAGCUUUCGAAUUCUUCAAUCAGACUUGUAAAUUACAAUCUAAGCAAUUAUUGUGAUAAGCAAAUAUAUUUGACAGAUUUUUAACAUGCCAUGAUCAUAGUUGGUUCUUAGGUGGCACCCCAUGUGUUGAACAUGCAUGUCAAUGUUCUUUUUUUUUCGAAGUGAUCUAAAUGCGUCAGUUUUGAGCGGUCUUGUUAGUGGUCCAAUGAUAGUUACUUACAUUUUUAUUGUACUACUCUAUCUUGAUCUCAAGUCAUAAAAUAUUAUGCUAUCGACAGAAGCUAUGAGAUCUGAGAUAAUUGCCAUAAGAAGAAAAAUACUGACUACGUAAAAAAAAGAUAUAGUAUAGAUCGUUGGCACGAGUCACUAUUCCAAAAGCUUGAGCUAAAAGAAAGAGGUAAUUGAGUCACUUAAAAUGUAUAGACGCAAAGCUUACAGGUCUUGGUUCCAACUCGACCCGACCAGGAUGCUGAGCACCACACCAACAAUCACUAGCUUAAAGUUGUCUUUCAUUUUCCCUUCAAAAUAUAUCUAACAUAAAUACUUUCUUUUUAUCAUUUUUCACUAUCUUUAUGCUUAUUCAUUUUAUGAAUCUACUUUAUAGGUCAUUAUAAUUAUCGACAUUUAUUAGCUGUAGCAAUAACAACCAAAUAAACUUGUCUAAAAGAUAUUUCUGUUUCUUUUCAAAAUUUCUAUGCUUAUUCAUUACAAUAUAGAGGUGUAAUUUUGACUCAAAUUCAAGAAUGACAUUGCAGACCAUGCUAGACAUGAACUACCAAAUAUUAUGUUAACAGCUAGCUUGCAUAGAAAAGAGUUUACGUUGCCUUAUGUUUGAUGAUGAGUUGUAGAUCAGUGCCACCCAGUUGCCACUCAUCACUCAAGUACUGUUUUGUGCUUCCAAGGCGUGAAGCCUUUAUGAGCUUCAGCUUUUGGAGAACAACGGUUAUUUCAAAUUUCAAUGUGGUAUCAAAGCAAGAGGCCCUGAAUUCAAAUCCCGCUUGGCUCCUAGCAUAAUUAGUUCUUCCAUUUAAUUUGAGUCCACGUCAUUGCCUAUCAAAAAGUCUCAAAUCUUGAGAUGAAAGGGAGUGUUGAAAUACAAUAUAUAAGCUCUGUUCUCUGGUAGCUUACUCAUUUGGGGAACAAUAGUUAUUUCACACUAUUAAAUAAUUAUGAAGAAUAUUUGUCAUGCCUAACAAUGCAUGUUUGAGUAUCCAUGAACCCCUACAAAAUAGUUAAAAGAUAGGCAUUAAAAAUAUCAUUAGAUCAAUUACAUCUUCACAUGGAACUACUAGCUUCAUUGACCUGGGAUAAUUCGUGCCUUAGUUUUGUAGCUAUAGCAUAGAGAUGCACCUUUCUCGAUCUUAAAAAUAGUUAUGCAAGCUGUAUUGAUCAGCACAGAAGGGAAUAUCAUAUAAAUGCUAAUUGCUUGCUUGCAUUAUCCAGGGUGCAUGCCUCAUUGUGCUUGUCUGCUGAGCUAUGCCUCUUGGUGUGGUCAACUUGACAUUGCUUGCUGCCUGAGUGUGGUUCUAUGUCUUACCUUUAUGCAAUCAUCUUGGCAAGCGCCUUGACCAAAGAUAGACACAGGAAAACCAUAGCAUUUAUUGGAAGACAUUGAUUACAAAUAAUAAUUGCAUGUUGCCAAAAAUGAUGCAUGUUUGACUGGCAUGUAUACAAAUGCCAGAUGGCAUGAAUAUAAAGGCGCAUCAUAAAGACUGCCAGAUCAAUAGUACCUCUUCAUAUGGGAGUGCUAUCUCUGUUUAUUUGAGAUGUGCCUGGUCUUCUUGGUAUUUCUGGUAAAGCUGAUUUUGAAUAGGCCUAGUGUUCACAUGGAAGCAUUGGCUACACUGUUUUAGGAAAGGUUCAGUCUUUAAUCCUUUCAUUUGGUUAGAUUGAUUUGAGAUAGGCCUAGUCAUCACAUGGAACUAUUAGAUUCAUAGAUCCUGGAUAGGCCUGGUCUUAAUUGAUUUAAGCUGAGAUUGCAUUUUUGGUCCUUAAGUAUGAGGCAGGUAACGCUACGAUCCUCAAGCUUUGAUUUGUGUCUAUUUCUAGCUUGAACUUUCUAAAAUUAUUGCAAUCAACUCUCACAAUCCAAUUUGGUUGACCAGAUAAUGAUGUGUUGCUAAUAUGGCAAUAAUACAUAAAUGUAAUUACUGUUAAUACCUAAACAUAUGAGUUAUAGCACAACAUCACCAUCAGAUCGUAGCAACAUGAAUUCUCCCCUUACAAAUCCUUGUAUUUGACUACCUUAUUGUUCAAAGAUUUACUGUCAAGCAUUUUCCUCAUUUGUAACAAAAUAAUUCACUUUUUUCUUUGUUUUCACUUCAAUUUAGUUGACGUUUUUAGAUGAUUAGUAUGCUAUACUUAUAAUUGCUGGAGAGAAUUAAAUAUUACCAGAUAUUUACUUCAUACGACAUAGUUGGCUGAAAGAGUUUCAUGUUCAUUAUAAAAUAGUUUAAUUUCAACAAAAAAAACAAGAAGAAAAAACAUUAUCGUCUAUGAAGCUUCAAAAAGAUCAAGAGGUGCAAAAAACUCUCUACUCUUCACAGCAAAAAGAAAAAAAAAAUAAAACAAAUAAGCAUAUUUCAAACAGAAAUUUUAGAGUAACCAUCUAAAUGUGUGUGAAAUGUUCUUAUUACUUACUUUAACACCCAGAAUAAGUGUGCUGCCACGCUUGCAACCAAUUAACUCAUUUGGGUAAUGCGGGCUUUUGAAUAUAAGUGCAAAUGCUCCUUCAAGUUGCCUUAUUACUUCCGUUACCACUUGACUAAAGGUAACAUGACCUGCGAAAAGUACCACUUAAAGAUGAGUUCAAAAUAAUGGUUCAGAAGAUAAUUCUGAGCUGGAGGCAAUCAUGCAACUAAUUAAUAUAAUUAAAAAACAAAACAAUGAAGAUGAGCACACAACCAAGUAACCAACAACAUAUGGCAGUGUAUCAAGACAAAGCCAAAGAAUUGAACAUAACAAUCAGCAGCAGAAUUUGGCUAACAUUAAUGAAGAUUAUCAUAACAACGCAAGCUUGAUAAGAACAGUUUAACAAGAGAAGAAUUCUGUGUCCAAAAUUGCUUACAUAUUCUCUUUUGACAAAUCCAGUUGAAAGUUCAUUUGGGCAAGAUUUGUAUCCUAAAAAAUUUAAAAUUCACCGAAACUAAAGGCACACCAAAGAAAAAGAAAAAACUACUACUUUGAUGAUUCUGGAAACUUUGCCUACACAAUUACUACCUUCACCAUCAUUGGCCUUAUCGAACAGAAACUUUGCAAGCUUAGGAAUGACUUCUGUAUCAGUUUCCGACUCAAAGGUGAAACCAUGACGAAUUAAUGUCUCCUUUAGAACCUGAAGAGACAUAAAAGAGAGGGAAAAUAAUAAUAACAAAACUUAACAUGUUUUAUUGCAUAAUAUUUAAUGUAUUCUGAUAUAUUUCAUCGAAAGAAAGUUCAAAUGGCUGCUGGAACAAGAGAUGCAUGUGAAAAUCCAGAACUUAACAUCUAGGUUUAUUUAGUAUUUCAUAGAUUAGACUUGAGGCUACUUUGCUGACAAUAUAUUUCACAUGAAAGAAAAGAAGCAGAAGGGUAAAUACAAGAAACUUUAUAUAUUACUGUAAUGGUCCUUCUAAAAUCAAAUAAAAUGUCAUCUAUUUAGAAUAUUAAAAGUUUCAAUCUAGUAUAUGAUAUUCAAAGAACAUAGAGGAAUUUACAAAAAACAGAAGAUUAUGAGAACAAUUCAUGCAAAAGCCCAAGCAAAAUUUGUGGCAGAAAAAUGAUUUUUAUACAUUUGACUAUACAUUUUACACUAUUCCUUUUAAAUGAGCAAACAAAUUAUGCAUUUAAGUAUAGAGAAGAAAAUUGAGAAAUAAAAUGAACCUCAUAAUUUGUAAUGAUUCCAUUGUGAACAACAAGGAAUUCAUCCCAUGGGCCAGAUGAUUGUGGAUGACUAUUUCUCGUAGAAGGCACGCCAUGAGUAGCCCAUCGCGUGUGUGCAAUACCAGCAUGAACCAGAAAUUGCUCGUCCAAGCUCAUAUGCAUUGCAUCAACCUCUGAAAAGAAGGAUUUCUAUUGUUAGGUGUAGAGAGUUUAGACCACAAUCUGACCGUCAGCGAGUUUUAGUCCAACGGACUCCAAGGUAUUGCUCUAUACAUUUCUAGAUACAGCAUAAAAGAAUAGAAAGAAUCGAUCAAUCAAGUCUUGUCCUUCUCAAUAAAAAAUGAGCCAUACAUGCAACUAUCUUCGCAAGAUAUAUAUAUAUAUAUAUAUAUAUAUAUAUAUAUAAAACUCCAUAAACAUUACUAUAUCUCAAGUAGUUGAGUUCUUUUAGAAGCAAAAAUAGUUUGAUUCUCCAAUCAUUAAAACAAUUUAUCGAUGUCCUAUUUAAAGAAAACCUAUCAGAAUCAUUUACACCUUACUGAGUUACAUAGUUUCCUUCACCUGGCUUUUGCUUUUCCAAAAGAGUAGGUGGAAACAAACACUGCAAAGUAAGUUAUACAGUAUUGUCUCCAAAACUGAAAAUCAAACGGUUUCUUCUCUGCUUGGACUUAAAAUUCUAAACAAUACACACAACUUACACAAAUUAAAUGACUAUCAGCGUCUUACAGUUAUAUUGACUUUACUAGGGAAAAAAAUACAACUUGCACAUAGUGCUUAUUUUUGUAACAGAAACUAAUGGUUUUGUAACCACCUGGAGCAUAGUAUUUGUCAAAGAAACUCCUUGCACAUAGUAUUUAUGAAAAUUACAACUUUGCACGUAGUAUUUCCAUGACAAAGUGGAUUAUAAAUGUAAGUCAACAAUAUAAACUUGGUGCAGCAGAAUCAGCAAAAGUGAUGGUCUUUUAUGAAUAGUUUAAAGCAAAACAUAUUAGUCAAAAUAGAAUGAAAAAUUCAACGGUAUAUGCAUUUCUAGCAGUUACAUAAAGUGUAAAAAGGAAAUGUAGGACAUGCAUAAUAAUGCAUAGUAUAUUAUAAAAUUUAAUUUUAGGGGGCCAAAUUAAUUUUUUUAAUAAAAUUUGUGUCUCAAUUUUUUUUUCGAAUUUCUUGGUCCUUUCCCUUCAACUCUUAUAGUUUUGUUCCUCUUUGAGCAUAUUAUCGUUAUUAUUGCUAGUAAUAACUGAUCAGUGAAUUUGUCAAAUUUUUUAUCUUACUAUCCGAGGUCGAAUUUUUUUUCUAUCAAAUCUAAACCUUGCCCCCCCCGAAUCUUAAUUUCUAGCUUCGUCCCUGAAGAGGAGGAAACCUUUAAGUAAAGGAAGGACGUCUCGACCUGCUUCACAAUGGUGGAAGAGUGUGCUUUUUGCUAAAGAUAUCUUUAAAGUGGCGCAUUCUUUGAUCUCGGUGACGAACGGUCUAUUGACUUUUGGUUUGAUAUGUGGUGUGGUGACGCUUCUCUGAAGAUGCCUUUUCUCUGCAUUUAUGAGAAAGUAGCUAUGAAGGGACUUUUCGUCAAGGAGUGUCGCUCUCUACAAGGUUGGAGAUAGAGAAAAAUCGUAUGAGGAGCUGGGAUCGGGAUGUUAAGGGAUGACUGCAGAAUCAAAGAAUUCUAGGAGUUCCUUUCAAGUUUCCAUGUAUCGGACAGGCCGGAUGAAAUUCGAUAGAGAUAGAAGGCAAGAAGGUGUUUCACUGUUAAAUCAGUAUAUGUACUGAUUCGAGUUUAGGGAGUACGAGAUUUUCUUUCGCUGAAAGUUUAGUAGUUGAAAAUAUCAUCUAAAUUUAGAAUUUUUAUUUGAUUAGUACUUAAAAAACACCUAUCUAUGGUUUUCAACUUACUUAAAAGAGACUGACUCGGAAAUCAACAGUGUGUGAUGUGCGGCAAUGAUGUAGAGAUUGCUGAUCAUCUACUUAGAAGGUGCCGGAUGCAUAAUCAGUAGAUUUUUUUUUUUGUACAACAUCCUAGAAGGUAAGCACAUUCCGGGGUCUAGGAUGGAGGUCAGGGAUGCCUAGGAGCUUCUGAUUGGGGACCACCGCCAAGGGGCAGUAGCGAAAGAUCUCACUAGAGUCGCAACCUGGUGGUGGAUGAUCUAGAAGGAAAAAAGUAACAUAAUUUUUAGAAACCAAUCAUUUGACUUUUUUGACUAUUAGACGAAUCCAGAACGUGAGCAGGAAAUGGCCUGAGUUUUGUAGCUCUUGGUGGCGAGUGAGAAGUAGAAUUAUCAAUUUUUUAAGAUUUUUUUGUUUUUAUUUGUUUUUUUUAUUUUGGUUACCUUCAAUAUUUUUCGAGGCUGCGUUGUCUCAAUCUCUCUAGUUAAAUUUAUUUACUAAAUGAAUGAAGCGGGUAGUGUGUUAUCUUUUUCUAAAAAAAAUAAUAAUUCCAACAUGCUAAACCAAGAUCACAACUUUACUACAAACCGCUGAAUCACACAUCAACAACGCCAAAAAGACACAAAAUUCGAUCCGAAAAGCCCUAAAAAUAGAACUUUCAACCGCUAAUGGAAAUCAAAACCCCACUAAAAGCACUACGCACUCGCACUCGCACUCACCGGCGUACACGGAUCCGACGAGCGACUCGAUCUUCCCCUCUCGCCGGAACACGAGCGGCGGCGCCACCGCAUACGCCGCCCUCCUCCCGAGCGGUUCCGUUACGGGAGCUUCGAUCGGCGUCAAUGGCGACCCCCGAGGAGUCGUAUCCCCUGUACUCGAGGCGACGGAGCCCGUUGAAGAGCACCUCGAGGAUGUGCCCUCGCUCUCGCUCCACAUUGUGGUUCAAAUAUGCGAAGAUCCCACACAUCUCUCUCUUUUACUCUCUAUCUCUACUAUUCGAUUUGAUUUGAGAGAGAGAGAGAGGAAACGAGGAGGGAGACGAAGGACAAAGCAAAUGGGGGGCAAAAUGGGAAAAACCGAAAAAAAGAAAAAAAAAAAGAAAAAACGAUACGUCGCUUCGCCCUCACUUUCCAUGUAGGGUUUUUUAACGGUCGAAUUUGUUAUUACGGGUCUUGAAAUUCCGAAUUCGAACCCGACUAGCAAACUCUAAUAAGCCGAAUCCGAACUCGAACUCGGCCUCGAAUUCUACGGAUUCUAAAAAAUUUUAUCCAAAUUUGAAUCGAAUUCAAACUUAAACUAAUUAUUUUUCUUUACAAUAUUUUAAAAUAUUUUAUAUUAAAUUUAAUUUUUUAAUAUAUAUAUUCAAAUAUUACAUUAAACAUAUAUAUAUAUAUAUAUAUAUAUAUAUAUUUAUUAUAGAUUAUAUAUAUAUAUAUAUAUAUAUAUAUAUAUAUAUUAUAAAUCAAUUCGGAUUCGGGUCGGGUUUGGAUUCGAGUCAAGUAUAGUCAAAAUCUAUACUCGAAUCCACAUUUGUCAAAUGUUUGUUUUUGGUAUCAACAUCUGAAACUAUAUCGUUUAAUAUUAGAUAAAUCAUUCAGUUUUGAUUCAGAUUUGAAUAAAAUUUCGGAUAUCGUAUCUGUUGACAUCCCUAUUUCUAUAUAACUUGUCAAUUUAUAUGAAAACCAUGAAUAUAGAAAAUGUUGAAAUGCCCCUUAUGUUUACUUAUUCUUUUUUUUUUUUUUUUGAGAGAGAGAAAGGUAGCAUGCUACCCGCUUCUUUUAUUUCGUUGAAAAAUAAACUUAGCUGGAAAUGUGAAUCAACUAGUUAGGAUUCGAACUUGGGUCUUAAGUACCAACCACCAAAUCCUUUUGCCACUUGCGCUAUAAACGGUUAGUCCUUAUGUUUACUUCGUUAAUCAAUACUUUUUAACUUGUUUUCUAAAACUUUAGCUAUUAAUGUUAUUAUUAAUUUUAAAAUUUGGGAAAUACAUUUUGCAAAUUUUAAGGUAAUAAUUACAAGGGGUUGUUGGGUUUAAAAAAAAAGGCCCUUCGAUGAGAGGGGUUGUAAAAUGCGUAGUAGCCGCUUGGCUUCUUGCUUUUAUUUUCCUAUUCAAAGCGAUAUUUUUUUAGCAUUAGACAAAUCUAUUUUAUUUGGAUUCUGAUUUCGAUAAAAUUUUAAGUAUUUAUAAUCGUUGACAUUCUUACAUGUGUGUACUAUAUUUUUUGUUUAAAUAUUGUGGUCCUUAAAUUUGCAAAUCAAUUAAAAAAUUAAUUUUUUAAUAAAUGUCUAUUUUGGUUCUUUACUUGUACAAUGCUAUUUUCUAAUAUCAAUUAACUAAACUUUUAAUGAAUUAUAAUAUAUGUAAAAAUUAAAAAAAUUAAGAGUGUGUUUGGUUCGCCCAUUUUCUACUGAAGAAUCAAAAUCAGAAUAGACGAAUCUGUUUGUUAGCGUUUGGUAUUCGGGAAUUUCAUUCCGAUUUCGAUUCCGAUUUUCAAGUAAAUGGAAAUCUCCCAAUCACCGCUUUUUCAAUUGGGUCUAGGAGGCCGGAAUAAAAGUUAAAUCCAAACAUAAAGAAUGCAUUUUAAGAAAAUAUUUCAAUAAUAGUUUUUAUUUAAAAUUAAAUUAAAUUUUUUGACUUUAAUUUUUAACUGAAUAUAAAUUUUAAUUUAGAAAUUAAAUUUUUAAUUCUAGAUUUUGAUUUAGAAAUUAAAUUAAAAUAUAAAUUCAAUCAAGCAUUUUGAAUUUGAUCUAUAAAUUUAAAUUUAAAUUUAAGUUUAAGUUUGAAUCAAAUAAAAAAUUAGUGUUAUAUUUUGAAUUGUCCACUCAAUUUUAAAUUUUAAUUUUUUAAAAAAAUUACAUUUAAAAUUUUGGCUUAUCAUUUUAAUAUUUUGAUGUAUUUUUUUAAUAUUUAACUUCCAGUUUGAAUUUAAAUUAUAAAUUUAAUUUUAUGAUUUGAGAUGCAAAAUAAAUUUUAAAUUAUUUUUAUAUUUUAUAAUUUAAUUUUAAUUAUUUUUUUAUUAUUUAAAUUUUUAAAUAUUGAAAGUAAGAAUCAACGAUGCUGAUUCCGAUAGUUAUUUUGAACCUAUAUAUUAGAAGAUCUUAUCAUUCCGUUUUCGAUUCCCAUCAAUUCAUGUCAAUUCCAAUUCCCAUGCUGAUUCCAUUUUUCAUUUUGAACCAAACGUGCCCAAACGUAGAUGCUCUGCUAGGCUGCGUUUGGUUCGAGUAUAAGUAAGAAUCGCUUAUUUCAGGAAUAUGUACGAGUUCAGAUAUAAACAGAAACUAGACCAAUUUUACAUUUGGAUGAAAAUUAGGUUGUUUCUAGAAAUAAGGUAAAUAGUGUUUGGAUGAUUAGAUUGUAACAAGGGGAAUAAGAGUUAUAAUUUUAAAUUAAAAUUAUUUUAUCUAAUUUAUUAACAUAAAAAUAUUACUUAAAAAUAAUUUAAUAAAUUAAUAAAUUUAUUAGUUAUGUGUCACGCCCCGGCUUACACGUUCUCCGGGCACGCCGACAAAUCCGCCGUAUACAAAGGAACUUCCCCUGUAUACGAAGCGACAGCUGUACCUAUAAACCAUACAAUACUACAAACAGUACUAUAGAGCUGCUAGAGUAAACAAAAGCUAAACAAACUGAGCUUCAUAUAUAUAGUUCAAAAAUCAAAAUAUAGAGUUACUCGCACUGGCGAGUUAAGUACUAUGUACAUAAGCUCGAAAUAAAACAACUACCUGCAGUAGGGUGCCUCUAGCUCUGCUCGGCGGGCAGGGCUCUAACUCGUGACGCCCUUGCCUCGAUCCUGAUCAGCGGAAGGUGCAGCAGCCGAAACCUGUGGCUCUACAAAACAGGGGUAACAACAGGACGUGAGAACUACUGUAAAAACAAGUAGUUCUCAAUGGGUGCCGCCCAAAACAACAUCAGUCCACCCACUAAGUCUACAGUAGGGAGCAAAGGUAGUAGGGAAAAAAACAGGAAAUAACUCUACCGCUAUAAAUCACUACACUACCAUGCUCUACACUAAUCAACUGUAGGAAAUGUUAAAUUUGAUCCAACCCAAUCGGGACUGUAAACCUACCCGUCCCUGGAACUGUGAAUACACCCGUCCCUGCCCAGUUGUGACUGUCCAGUUACCUCCACACUAACUGGUCCGUAGAGAGCAAGUCCAACCGGCAUGAGCGACACCAAGGCGAAAGCACAAAACCUGUCUCCGGAGUGGCACUCGUGGGAGCUGCCCAACCGAGUAUGCAGCGUAUCUCUGUCGAGCUCAAUCAGGCUCUCAAAAGCCAAAGUCCAGUAACCGACUCAAAUUGGUCUAACAACCAACAGGUAUCAUGUCCUCGACACAAUCCAACGCCAAAAAGGCGAUACGGGUCCACCGUCAAUCCCGACGGCACCCAACAAUCCGGAACAGCCUGAACGCUACAGUAAAAAUACACUCGGCAUCCCAGCACGAGCGUAACUGAAAACUAAACUACCUGAAAUACUUACUUUGAGGAUACUGCAACAGUAUAAAUUAAUACAACGGCCCCUAGGGCUAAAUCAGGUAAUUUAAACAGGUGACAGGUCCCAAAACGCUUGUUUUCUCCUAAGUCAAAUUCCAAGUCCAACAUGUAUAUUUACUUAAUUUAUUAUCACAUGCUCCAAAUUCAGAUUAGCCAUUCACAUAAUAAUCCAUGAAUUCGAGCUAAAGUAAACUACACAAAAUCCAAAAUUCAUACACGUUGACUACUAAGCACUUAGGAGUAUAAACCGAUGAUUAACCCACCUCGCUCGCUAAUCCCUGGCAGCACGGAACUCCCCUCGGCUGCGGAACAACCUGCCGAAACGUCCGAAAACCUCCCAAGGCCCGAAGUCAAGCUCCCGCCAAACUCUACACGGAGAAUCCGACAAUAAACAUUAAUUCUACCUCAAAAACAGCAAUAGAGAGGAGCGAAAUUCCGACCUAGCAAACCUUUACCAAAUCCAGUAAGUAAGGGCUUCGUGGAUUUCUCUCGAAGUCCCGAAUUCAACGAACCAAGUCCCGUCGAAAAUCGACGCUCCUACGCCGAGUACGAACUGAAAUACCAACGGUCGACGCUGGAAAUUCUGCAAAUCAGCACCAAGCUCGAAAUGACAAUACUUGAAGCAAUGCAACGGAACACUCACCUCAAAGGCUAAUCGGACAUCGACGCGGCGUCGAGAACGGCGAAAACGCACCCUCGCCUAGCUUCCUCGCAGCACUACGAUCCCAACCGUACCCUCGAAUGGCUUCGCGACGCGUCGUCGGCGUCGAACUCGUGCUCGCGGCUACCUCCACCGAGCUCUUUGCUUCGGUCGAACAAAGAGAGAAGUAAAAAAAAUUAGGCAAUGCCCACCUGAUUUGAUGAUAAGCAUGCAUGGGUGCACGUGGCAUCCAAGCCACCUCAAUUAGCACCAACCGACCUAAAAAUAAAUAAGUAAAUUAAUUACUUAAUAAAUAUAACAAGGAUACUACAUUAUGAAUAUUGUAUAAGAUAAUAAAAAUAUAUUAAUUAAUUAAUUAUAAAAAAUAAUUUAACUUUUUAACUAGUUAGUAAAUUAUUUUAGCUAGAUAACUAGUAAAAAAAAUUAAUUAGAUUAAUAGAAAUAUUACUGAUUGAUCAAUAUAAAUAUUAGUUUAUGGAUAAAUACAUUAAAUUAUUAGUAAUUAAUUAUAAAUAAUAAAUUAAUUAAUUAUUUUAUUAUUUAAGCAAUAAAUAAUAAUUUAAAAUAUUAAUUGGAUUAAUUAAUAAUUAAAUACCAUAAUUAAAAUUAAAUUUAGACCUUAAUUAAUCUUGUUCCUACCUGUGAACAAGUUUUUUUCAGAAAAAGAGUGGAACAGCAGUUUCAGUCUUAUACCAGCUUAUUUCAAGAACCCGAGAACUGCUGUUCUCGGGUACCAAAUACAAUAUUUGGAAACAAAGGAGGGAAUAGGGCUUAUUCCCCCUUGUUUCCGAACCAAACGCAGUCACGGUGAAUAACGGAACAACUUACAAUCUACCUUGGGAAAAUAUAAAAUUUCGAAGUGGGAAAGUAUGCAAUUUUAUUCAACACAUGGCAAUUUUAUUUAACAUAAGUAAUGUUAUUUAAUUUGAAAAAAAUAGAUUAUUAUGGAAAGAGACAAAAAUAGGAGAAAGACAUUAUACCAAAAAGGACUUUUAGGGGCAAUUUAAACUGCCGGAAAAAGUAUAAGAAGUGCCGGCAAAAAUUUUUUCCGGCAUAAUUUUGUGGCACUCGUAAGUGCCAGUUAAAAGUCCGUUGGUAAUUCUUUUGCCUGCACUUCUUGUCAACCGCUAGUAAAUGAUAAAAAAUCGGCACUUUAAACUACCAUCUAUAAGAAUUUAUAGCGGCACUCAUAAGUGCCGAAAAAAUAAAAUAAUAACUAGUAUAUAUUAUCUACAGUAAAACCUAAUAUAGGACCUUAUUUAAUGUAAUUUAAAAGAAUUAUCACUGGAAAUAAUAAGAUGUUAAAUUUCUAGUAAAUUUUUGUCAGCAGGAUUUUCUUUCACUUAAAGUUAAUUUACAUUUUCUAAAAAAUAAAAUUUUAAAAAUAUAUGUGUGUAAUGCAUGGUUACCGACUAGUUGUACCAAUGAACCUUAAAUUGGCAAAUUUCACAGUUUUAUAGUUAUUUUUUCAUGACUCAUUUAAAUUGUUUUACUAUUGAGUUUCGAUAUGGUUGUGUGCAUUUUUUAGGGUAAACUUUAAAUACCACCCAUGUGGUUUCGUAUUUUCUCAUUUCAGUAUCAUGUGAUUUAAAGUGUAUCAAUUUAGUAUCCUGUGAUUUUAUUUUUCUCUUUUUUGUCGGUCUCUCCAUUAACAUUUUAUUAAAUCAUAUACAAAAAAAUCUUUAGAUACCUUAUUUAUAGUUUAUUGAAUAUUCAAUUUAGUUUCUUUUAGUUUUAACUUUAUCACUGAUUUAACGAAAAAAAUUAGUGGAGAGGAUAACAAAAAAAAAAGAAUAAAACUAUAAGGUACGAAAGUAAUAUACAUUAAAUCACAGAGUACUAAAGCAUUAAAGUGCGAAACUACAGGAAUGGCAUUUGAAGUUUGUCUAAUUUUUUACUUCACGUUGCCUAAUUUUUUAUUACCACCGUAAGCUUAUUUUGAAUUAUCUAAAUUAUAUAAUUUCGUGCUAAAAAAAAAAGCAACAUCCAAUAAAACUUUUUGUCGAUUUCUUGAGUUUACACUCAACUUUUUAAUUUUGGCCUAACAUAUACUGUUUUUUCCUCUUUUUUUUGGGUACAAAAAUAAAUGAAACUUAAACUAUAAUUAAUUUUGACCCAACUACCUGAGUUUUUUACCUUAUAAUUUUAAUACCUAACAUUUCAAAUCGUUCAGGUGAGAUUCUUGUACUAGGACGACAAAAUAAAAUGCAACAGUGCACUCAAAUUUCUGAAGUGAAAGAAUUAUCAAACAACUCAAAUGUAAUAAAUUAAAAGAAGUUGAUUAAAUCAAAAACUUGUUUAACGUUAUGUUGGUUGAAGAAAAUUGAUAGCAGUAUAGAUGACUUUACAUUAUGAGUCCGGCUAAUAUACUUUUAUGAAUAUUGGCUCUCUUAAACUCAUAAAUUUUCGGCCCUUAGAUUUAUUCCAUGAUCAUUUCCACCCGUUAGAUCAUACUAUUCAAUCAACUACCCACUCAACCUUAGAGGACCACUAUCAUUCUAAGUGGGGACUGCCAUCAUCCUAACCACACAUUCUAUCAAUUAACGGUUAAAAAUUUAUGAGUACAAAGGGUUCUAUACUUAUAAGAGUAUAGGAGCCCCAGCCUUACAUUAUUACUGAAUAUAUAUAUUUACUUGCUUUUCCGGUCAACAAAUCUGUUAACUAAUAAAACGGAGGAUAAGAACGUGUCGUUCAUCUUUUUCUUGAAAGAAAAACUAUUCAAAGGUUACAUGCAGAGACUCGAAUCUUUGACCUCGUGCGUGAAUCUCUCUCACUAUCAAUUACAAAAUAAACAAAAUACAAAAUAAACAUUGGUCGUUAAAACGGAAAAGAACUUAUAUUUAGGACAUAAAAAAGAUAGUUGUUGGUUACUUACAACUGUGAUUGUUUGAUGUCCUCAAAACAAACAUCAUAAAUAAAAGGAUUAUUAGGUCAUUGGUUUCAAUUAAACUUUUGUCCUUUUAUAAAAAGUUAUCUAAAAUAUAUAUUUUUUAUCUAAAUUUUUAAAUAUUUAUAAUUACUUAUCUAAAUUUAUAGACUAUGGGUGAUAAAUAUUAGCCAAAUGAUCAAAGAAAUGAUUAGAAAUCUACACUGGCAAUAUAUAUAGCAAAGAGUCUUGUNUAUCUAAAUUUAUAGACUAUGGGUGAUAAAUAUUAGCCAAAUGAUCAAAGAAAUGAUUAGAAAUCUACACUGGCAAUAUAUAUAGCAAAGAGUCUUGUUUGUCAUCAAAAUACAGUAUUAUCAGUUUUGUCCAGAAGAAUGUUCACCAUUGGUCCCCAAUCUUUUUCCAAUUUUCAUUUUGGGUCCCAAUCUUUUUCUUCUUGCAAUGGGGUCCCUAGUCUUUUGUUUUUGUUUCAAUUAACUUUCUAUCAUUAGAAAUAUCAUUAAUUCUAACAGAAAUCACAACACUAAUAAAAAUUACUGCGUGCUAAAGUGUACGCUGAUGUGACAUUAACAUGGCACAUAUUGUUGGUGUUAUGCGCUAACAACACAGCUUUUGUUAAAGUUAGCAGUGUUAUUAAUUGAAGCAAAAACUAAAGGUUAGGGAUCUGAUUACCAAAAAAAGGACUGAGGAUCCAAAUGAAAAAUUGGAAAAAUGAUGAGAAUCAACGUUGUAAAUUGUAAUUAACCCUUCUUAGGCAUCAACAAAACUCUAGCCCACAUUGGGCCCAAACUUACAAAACCCUAACCUGGAUGCGCUGUGUCGACGUGGCAUUUGCAUGAUAGAUAUUAAUUGGUGCCGCGUUGCAGAUUUUAUUAAAUUAAUGAUUUUUAUUUUUUCUUACGGCGAGAUAUAAUUGGAAUGAAAAACUAAAAUUUAGAAAUUGAUACGGUGUUUCUAGCACAAGUGGCAAAGAUUUUGAUGGUUGGUAAUAUUUCAAGUUCAGAUUUUAUUUAAAUCAUAUUUCUAAUUAAAUUUAUUUUUUAAAAAGAUAAAUGCGAAGUAGGUAGCAUGUUAUCUUUCUCUAAAAAAAAUAAAAUAAAAAAAGGCAAAAAAGUUUAGAAACCUGAUUACCAAAAAAAAAAAAAAAAAAAAACGAAAGUCCGCGAAAACGCCGCUGAGUAAUUGGGUUUGCCGCCCCUUCUCUGUCUCGAUCCUAAUCCCUAUUAGGAAAAAAAAAAAAAAAAAAAAAAAACUAACUUUUGUUUUUUCUCUUUUUGUUUUUUUAAUUUUAAUUUUUUUUUUUUCUCUUGUUGGAUAUUUCGUGGAAUGAAAGGAAUCAAGGGUAUCUUGUUCGAUUCAUCCGAGAGAGAUUUUUUUUUUUUUGAAAAAAAAAAUUGUACAAAAAAGCAUUUGGAUUUGAUUUGAAAAAAAAAGAGAAGGAUUGAGAGAAAGAGAGAAAUUAUAUGCAGAGAAUAUCCUCCUUCAAUUUCUUCUUACUUCUCUCAUUAGCUUAUAUAUAUAUUUUUCCCCUUCUAAGUUAAAUUCUUGUAUUAAUCAAUCAUGGCUAUAAAUUUGUAGAAUAAUCUCCUUGAUCUAAACUUUAAUGAGAUCUCGAUUCGAAUUCGGUUUGCGAAUCGAUUUAGUGUGGAAGGGAUCAUGCCUAAGAAGCACAAGCCUAAGCGCCUUUAUCAAGUUUGGAAAGGGAACAAUGUGAGUUUUUCUUUUUUCUUUUUUUUCCCUUCUCUAUUAAUUUCAUUGUGAAAUUCUUACUUAUUGGGAAAUUAAUUUUGUUAUUCGGCUUGAAAAUUAUGUAAAUUUUUUCUUAUUUUUUGAUUCAUAUCUAUAUGUUCUCUAUUGGCAUCCUUAUUUAUGUGAUUUUAUUCCGUGUGCCUCCGUAUACUGUUGUUUGGCUAAGUUUUAGGAUAUAUCACUUUUUUUUUGUGAUUAAGUUUCUUAUCGUGAUCAAUGGUUUAAAUGAUGCAAUCACAGCGACAAAAGAUGAAUAGUUAGUAAUAUGUAGAAGUUCGGGAUCUCAUGCACAUUAUCACAAUCACAAUUCAGGAUUAUCCGGCUCGCAACUGCUUUAAUACUAUAUGUAAUGACCAAGCCGAGCAACUUGCUUAAAAUGCUUCGGCUCAGUUAUUGGUACUAUAUUUCUCAGUCAUUUAUAUACUUUAAGUACAAUUAGAUAAAAAUAGUAUUACAAUUCUAGUGAUAUACAUAUUUCAAAUUGAACUAGAAUGCUUCUAGAAGUAUUAAACCCUUGAUAUUUCCACAUUGUUUUUUAAUAAUAGUGUCUCCGCAUCAAUGGUUACAACAUUAACAUCAUCUACGUCUCGUGAACUUCAUAUAAACCACAUUUUAUUAUUUUUCGAUGUUAUUUACCUAAUAAUCAAAUGGUCUCAAAUAUUAAAAUUUGUUAAUUUUGAGACCACUUGAACAAUAUAUAAAUAAUAUUGAAAAAUUAUAAAAUUUAAUAUCUAGGAAGUUCAUGAGACAUAGAUGAUGUACAAUAUUAUAAUCGUUGAUUUAGAGAUGCUACCACUGAAAAAAAAAAAUUAUGUAGAUGUAUUAAAUGGUUUUGGUACUUCUAGAAAUAUUCGAGGUCAACUCUUAUCCAGCUGUUAGUUCCAUGAACUAUAGUGGUACAUUUUGAUAUUAGAUUUAUUGUAUAUUAUAAAGCAUUACAUACAUGAAUGAAUGAACUGUUACAGGAAAGAAUAGUAUGUAUAUAAAAUAUUAUUUUGAUUACAAAGAUGAGAAAUAGUCCUACAUUGAUACCCGCAGCAUCACUAUUUAAUACUUGGAUUUUUUUUUAAUAAUUCUUGAUGCUAUUGCUUACUAUUAUAUAUGCGUAAUGAUAAUUAAAAUAAAAAAAAUGUCUUUGCUGGGAGCAAACAGAUUUAAUGAAUCUAUUCAAAUUUAGUCAGUAAAUAGCAACUAGAUUCAAUGAAUCUAUAUAUCAGUAUCAAAGUAAGCUCUGUUAAGAAUAUGAUCGCAUCUUAAUACCUUGUUUUGCUGUUCUUUCUUUAGAGGUUCUUUUGCAGUGGACGACUGAUAUUUGGUCCGGAUGUAGCCUCAUUGCUCAUAUCCACACUUCUAAUAGUUGUACCAACAAUCAUGUUUUGCUAUCAAAUAACUGCUAAAAUCCACAAUCAUGAUAAGUUGCACGACGAGGUAAAGAUCAAUGCUCAACACCCAGUGCUCCAAUUUCCAGUGCUAAUUGUAACAAUCAUUGCAUUGAUAUCGGUUAGUAGCAAGAAACUAUCAAAAAUGUACAAUUUGUAACUUAAGAUCGUAAAAUGGUACUUCUGAUCUUAAUAUAUUAUUUUACUACUAUGCAGGACUUGUAUUUUCUCUUUAUGACAUCUUCUCAAGACCCGGGAAUAGUACUGAGGAAUGCAAGGCCACCGGAAGUGGAUGAAGCAUCUGAUAUCCUGACUCCGUCGAUGGAAUGGAUUAAUGGGCAGACGCCAUGCAUGAGAGUACUAAGAGCAAAGGAUGUGAUAGUAAAUGGUUUUGCUAUAAAAGUGAAGUACUGCGACACGUGCAUGCUGUACCGCCCACCGCGUGCCUCUCACUGCUCGAUCUGCAACAAUUGUGUUCAGAAGUUCGAUCACCAUUGCCCGUGGGUCGGUCAGUGCAUUGGAUUAGUAAGUAAGAGUAUCUGAUAAAAAAAAUUUCGUGCCAAUGAUGAUUUAAUGUGUUGAUUUACAAGCAAAUUUCAAGCCAACCGCAUUAAUUACUUCUAUCUUUUUAUGUUUUUUUUGUUUGGCAAAUAUGUAGUUGAUAGACAUACAAUUUUGCCUUUUUUUUUUCUACUUGGUCUAAGCUUUUGUUUUUUUAUUUUUAUUUUUGAUGUCCAGUUUAAAUUUAUAACAACUUAUUCCUAUUUUACUUCUCCAGAGAAGCUAUAGGUAUUUCAUCUUAUUCAUAUCAACAUCAACUUUUCUCUGCAUAUACAUCUUUUUAUUCUCGACGCUGAACAUUGUUGGAGAGAAGAAUAACUAUCCUGGUUCUAUUUGGAAUGUCAUGAAAAGAGAGGUUCUGUCGCUUGUACUUAUGAUUUACACUUUUGUAACAGUUUGGUUUAUCGGUGGGCUGACCAUAUUUCACCUUUACUUAAUCGGCACAAAUCAGGUACUUCCUUCCACCAUUCGUAGGACAGUUUAUGUUUAUGAACUAGUUGGAUGCAAUUCACAUGGCAAUUAAUCUAACUACGAUCGAGGAUAAUGAACUUGUUGGAUAGUAAUCUAAAUUUUAUAAGCUAAAAGAAAAACUAUCUCGACAAUUGGUCCAUUUCAAUCAACCAUUUACUCCUUGUUUCAUUCAGCUUUUGUUAGUAUCACAAUCUAUGUAGAAAAUUGACAAACUGUUCAUAUAGUUUUUACUGUUGAAACUGUGGCCUACUGUCUAUAAAUUAACUCUGUUCUUCAUAUUAAAGAGCGAUUUUUGAUAAGAAAAAUUAGAUACUUUUGAUGAAUUUACAUAGAGUGUUAUAUUAAUCGUACGUCAAUAUUGAUUGCCGCUAAUGUACUAUAAUCUUUUUUGUUUAAAAAGUAAUAUAUUCUAAUUUCUAUUGUUUAAUUGACGCCACUUCUACACAGACAACCUAUGAAAACUUCCGAUAUCGUUACAACAGAAAGGAAAAUCCGUAUAGCAAGGGUAUCUUAAGAAGCUUUACGGACUUAUUUUUUUCAAAAACCCCACCUUCGAUGGUUAACUUUCGGUCCCGGAUCCCCGAGGACGCGCCGGAAACUCGAUCUUAUUCUCCAAAUGAAAAUGACAGCAAGGAAGCAUCAAAUGAACGCAUUCCAGGCAUACUGCAGAACCUGGAAUACAGUUCUACUAAAGAUAAUAACAAUGAUUCUGAUGAUGAAGAGACAAGAGAGGUUGAUCAUGUUUCUAUAGAAGUAGGUGAAGCUAUAAAUAGAAGUGCUUCUAUGGAUGCAGAUAGAAUGACUGCUUAUGAAAGUGCUCUUGAGGAAAGUUACUCGAGCUCAACCUUGAUCAUCUCUGAUCAUAAUCUUCACAUAUCAAGGACAUGAGGUGAUAAAUUUUACCUUGUUAAUUAGCUUCCUUAUUUAUACUUUUCUGUAUAUUGCCCUUUUUUUGGGGCUAUUUUUUUCCUCUCGAGUUUAGUAAGUAGAAUAAUGUUGUUGAAUUGAAUUGUUCUUUUUUUUUCCCCUCCUUUUUGUAUAUAUAUAUAUAUAUAGAGAGAGAGAGAGAGAAAAAAAAGUACGUAAUGCUGACAGGCGGGUUCCACGCGUAUAAGGCAAGAAAAACUUGCCACGUGGACUCCUCAUAUCGGGAUUAAUAAAAGUACCACAACAUUUGACACACGUGAAAAGUAGAUAAACCAUGUGAUUCAAAGGUCAGUUUUGAUUAAAGGUUAGAUGCAAUGCCCAGUAAUCUUGUUAGUACCCUCCAAUUGAAGCUAGCAUGACAAAAACUGUUGUGUCAGUAUAGAUUAAAUAUCGAACAUGACAGGCCUGCAAAGCCAAGUUAAAGAUAGCCCACGAAAACUCAACACUUGUUUUGAGUAUCAUGGGCAUGGCAUUUUUCAUUUCCUUGAUAUAACACUACUGAGUACUUGCUAAAUGUGCACAUGCACGGACACAAGAUCUUAAAAAAGAUAUCUAUGAGAACAUUAGGAUGCUUAAGAAGAAUCUGAUGAUGGGUUAGCAUCUACAUUAAAAUAAAAAGCAGUGUAAAUCCUGCGCCAUUACAACGGUAACAGCACGAAUAAGUACUCAGUCAUCGAAAUGAAGCUUCGAGAUCACAGAAGAUAGAAAAAUGAAGCAAAUUAAAAAAGAAAAAAAGAAAAAGAAAAAAGAGGGAUCACAGAGAAUGCAUGACAAGAUGACGUAAAUUCUGUAGAGAUAGCUUCGGCUUAGACAUGUUUUUACUAUGUGAAAAAAAAAAAAAAUUAUGCAUGCUAAAUUUGAUACAGGAGAUUUCAUUUAUCUAAGUGGUUAAUCACAAUAAUGAAACCAUUGGGACUGAAGCAUCAAUAUUUAGAUUGAAAUUGUGAACAAGAGAGAUCAAACAGAAGAACAAAAUCCUCAUGAGCAGGAAGAAAUAACCUUAUCAGAACUUUGGUGCAUUUUUUAAGUUAUCACCCUCAGCACCUUUCAAGAAAGUUGUUGAAACAAUACUAUUUUAGGAGAUCGAACAAAAUCUGCUCAAAAAUAUUAUCCACCUUGCUUCUGGGGAAAUCUGCACAAAAAUAUUAUCCCAUGAACAAAGUACUAUCCAGAACAAAUGUCCACCAAUGAACAAAGUACUAUCCAGAUGACUCAAAAUUCUUACAUUUCUUCACGCCUACUCCGUAAGGUUUCAAAUUUACAGUUCAUACUAAAAAAUUCUCACAUUUCUUCACAUUUCUUCACAAAAGUAAAAAAAAAAAAAAAUCUUACAAUUUCUAAAGAAGAGACACAGACAAUUGAAAAUCCUUCUGAAACUGAAGUACCCCUACACCUUGUCCUAUCCACCAAUUUAUCCACCAAUCACAUCUGUAAAAAACCAUUAAAGAUCUAUCAGGCAAUCAUAAAUAAAAACAAAAUGAAGUAACAAACAGAAAAAAAAAUACAUGGUUCAACCUCCACAUUUUUAUGAAGGCACAAAAUCCAGGAUCCUAUCAUCAGAAUAAAUGUCCCAACACCAACACCGACUAGGAAUACUACCCAGUCAUACUGUCCCAAGUCUUCCUUCCAAACUUCUACUGGAUCUGUAAUAGUCACUUGAAAAAAAGAUGCAACGGCAUACAACAGGAGAGAGUAAAAAUGGUUGCGUUUUACUGCAUUUGAAUCCACCGGGUCACCGUCGUUAAAGCAGGUGCGUACUAAACCAGCGGUGACGAUUGCCGAGCACACGUGUGCCAUCAAAUUACCAAAAUAGCGUCCUUUUUCAGAGACCCCCAACAAAGAAAAAGGAAGUACUAAAGAAAUAUGAAUUGUUGAAACGACGGAAGUAACAAUGCACAACAGUAAGAGAUGGUUCUUGGAGUCGGAGUGUGUGGCGCGAGCAUGCUAAAACUCCAUUAAAGAAGCUAUAACAAAAGGGAGAAGAUUCAAUAUUCAAGCAGUAAUAUCCCAAAAACCAAGAACUACAUCCGUGCACACAACAGACCAGGUAAAAAAGUUUCGCAAAUAGAUUGAAAACCAAGCAUCCCUAUUUAAGAACAGCAAACAUCAGCAAUAGCAACAGCACAAGUAAAUCCAUAGCAAUAUAAAGUAAAAAUAAGAAAUCAAUAAUAACAAUCAAUCUCACCAUUUCAACUUCAGGGAUAUCGAAAUAACAUCACAUUUGAUUUUCAAGUUAGAUUUGUGCCAACUAAUUAUCUUAUUCUGUUCUAUCACUACUUCCGCACAAGUAAACCAUAGCAAUAUAAAGCAAAAAUAAGAAAUCUAUAAGGAUUAACAAUCAAUCUCACCAUUCCAACUCCAGAGAUAUCGAAAUAACAUCACAUUUGAUUUUCAAGUUAGAUUUGAGCCAACCAAUUAUCUUAUUAUUUUCUAUCACUACUUCCACACAAGUUAAACCAUAGCAAUAUAAAGCACAAAUAAGAAAUCUAUAAGCAUUAACAAGCAAUCUCACCAUUCCAACUCCAGGGAUUUCGAAAUACCAUCACAUUUGAUUUUCACGUUAGAUUUGAGCCAACCAAUUAUCUUAUUCUUUUCUAUCACUACUUCCGCACAAGUAAAACCAUAGCAAUAUAAAGCACAAAUAAGAAAUCUUAAGCAUAAGAUCAAUCUCACCAUUCCAACUCCCAGGGAUAUUCGAAUAAAUAUACAUUUGAUUUUCAAGUUAGAUUUGAGCCAACCAUUAUCUUAUUCUUUUCUAUCACUACUGCCGCACAAGUAACCAUAGCAAUAUAAAGCAAAAUAAGAAUUAUAAGGAUUAACAAUCAAUCUCACCUAUUCCAACUCCAGCGAUAUCGAAAUACAUCACUUUGAUUUUCAGUUAGAUUUGAGCACACCAAUUAUCUUAUUCUUUUCUAUCACUGCUUUCGCACAGUAAAACCAUAGCAAUAUAAAGCAAAAAUAGAGAAAUCUAUAAGGAUUAACAAUCAAUCUUACCAUUCACCUCCAGGGAUAUCGAAAUAACAUCACAUUGCAUCAAUAGAAGAUGAAGAACAAAGCGUGCAAGAAGAUGAAGUUCUAUAUUGUAACGUACAUUGACAUAAAAGAUCAAAUCAGACCCAUAUAGGAAGAUGAAGAAGAUGAAUUAGAAAAAGAUGAAGAACCUACCCAUAAAAUGUCUGAGGAUUAGCCCAACGCGUUCGACUCCUCUCAAAGAACUUGCGGCAAUGUCGUGCGAAUUAGGGUUUUAGAGGGAGCAAUGUCGUGCGAAUUAGGUUUCGACUCCUCAUAUUUCUUCACAAAAGUAAAAAAAAAAAAAUCUUACAAUUUCUUAAGAAGAGCCACAGACAACUGAAAAUCCUUUUGAAACUGAAGUACCCUUACACCUUGUCCUAUCCACUAAUUUAUCCACCAAUCACAUAUGUAAAAAACCAUUAAAGAUCUAUCAGACAAUCACAAAUAAAAACAAAAUGAAGUAACAAACAGAAAAAUAAAAACCUGGAUCAACCUCCACAUUUUUAUAAAGGCACAAAAUCCAGGAUCCUAUCAUCAGAAUAAAUGUCCCAACACCAACACUUACUAGGAAUACUACCCAGUCAUACUGUCCCAAGUCUUCCUUCCAAACUUCUACCGGGUCUGUAAUGGCCACUUUAAAAAAAGAUGCAACGGCAUACAAUAGGAGAGAGUAAAAAUGGUUGCGUUUUACUUCAUUUGAAUCCACCGGGUCACUGUCGUUAAAGCAGGUGCAUAACGGUGACGAUUGCCGAGCACACGUGUGCCAUCAACUCACCAAAAUAGCGUCCUUUGUCAGAGACCCCCAACAAAAAAAAGGAAGUACUAUGGAAAUAUGAAUGGUUGAAACGACGGAAGUAACAAUGCACAACAGUAAGAGAUGGAUCUUGGAGUCGGAGUGUGUGGCGGGAGCAUGCUGAAACUCCAUUACAGAAGCUUUAACAAAAGGGAGAAGAUUCAAUAUUCAAGCAGUAAUAUCCCAAAAACCAAGAACUACAUCCGUGCACACAACAGACCAGAUAAAAAAGUUUCGCAAACAGAUUGGAAACCAAGCAUCCCCAAUUAAGAACAGCAAACAUCAGCAAUAGCAACAGCACAAAUAAAACCAUAGCAAUAUGAAGUAAAAAUAAGAAAUCUAUAAGGAUUGUCACCAUUCCAACUUCAGGGAUAUCGAAAUAACGUCACAUUUGAUUUUUAGGCAAGAUUUGAGCAAACCAAUUAUCUUAUUCUUUUCUAUCACUACUUCCGCACAAGUAAAACUAUAGCAAUAUAAAGCAAAAAUAAGAAAUUUAUAAGAAUUAACAAUCAAUCUCACCAUCCUAACUCCAGAGAUAUCGAAAUAGCAUCACAUUUGAUUUUCAAGUUAGAUUUGAGCCAACCAAUUAUCUUAUUAUUUUCUAUCACUACUUCCGCACAAGUAAAACCAUAGCAAUAUAAAGCACAAAUAAGAAAUCUAUAAGGAUUAACAAUCAAUCUCACCAUUCCAACUCCAGGGAUAUCGAAAUAACAUCACAUUUGAUUUUCAUUUUAGAUUUGAGUCAACCAAUUAUCUUAUUCUUUUCUAUCACUACUUCCGCACAAGUAAAACCAUAGCAAUAUAAAGCAAAAAUAAGAAAUCUAUAAGGAUUAACAAUCAAUCUCACCAUUCCAACUCCAGGGAUAUGGAAAUAACAUCUCAUUUGAUUUUUACGUUAGAUUUGAGCCAACCAAUUAUCUUAUUCUUUUCUAUCACUGCUUCCGCAUAAGAAAACCAUAGCAAUAUAAAGCAAAAAUAAGAAAUCUAUAAGGAUUAACAAUCAAUCUAACCAUUCAAACUCCAGGGAUAUCGAAAUAACAUCACAUUGCAUCAAUAGAAGAUGAAGAACAAAGCGUGCAAGAAGAUGAAGUUCUAUAUUGUAACGUACAUUGACAUAAAAGAUCAAAUCAGACCCAUAUAGGAAGAUGAAGAAGAUGAAUUAGAAGAAGAAGAAGAACCUACCCAUAAAAUGUCUGAGGAUUGGCCCAACGCGUUCGACUCCUCUCCAAGAACUUGCGGCAAUGUCAUGCGAAUUAGGGUUUUAGAGGGAGCAAUGUCGUGCGAAUUACGUUUUCGACUCCUCAUAUUUCUUCACAUUUCUUCACAAAAGUAAAAAAAAAAAAAUCUUACAAUUUCUUAAGAAGAGCCACAGACAAUUGAAAAUCCUUCUGAAACUGAAGUACCCCUACACCUUGUCCUAUCCACCAAUUUAUCCACCAAUCACAUAUGUAAAAAACCAUUAAAGAUCUAUCAGGUAAUCAUAAAUAAAAACAAAAUGAAGUAACAAACAGAAAAAUAAAUACCUGGAUCAACCUCCACAUUUUAAUAAAGGCACAAAAUCCAGGAUCCUAUCAUCAGAAUAAAUGUCCCAACACCAACACCGACUAGGAAUACUACCCAGUCAUACUGUCCCAAGUCUUCCUUCCAAACUUCUACUGGGUCUGUAAUAGUCACUUGAAAAAAAGAUGCAACGGCAUACAACAGGAGAGAGUAAAAAUGGUUGCGUUUUACUGCAUUUGAAUCCACCGGGUCACCGUCGUUAAAGCAGGUGCGUACUAAACCAGCGGUGACGUUUGCCGAGCACACGUGUGCCAUCAACUCACCAAAAUAGAGUCCGUUGUCAGAGACCCCGAGCAAAAAAAAGGAAGUACUAUGGAAAUAUGAAUGGUUGAAACGACGGAAGUAACAAUGCACAACAGUAAGAGAUGGAUCUUGGAGUCGGAGUGUGUGGCGGGAGCAUGCUGAAACUCCAUUACAGAAACUUUAACAAAAGGGAGAAGAUUCAAUAUUCAAACAGUAAUAUCCCAAAAACCAAGAACUAGAUCCGUGCACACAACAGACCAGGUAAAAAAGUUUCGCAAACAGAUUGAAAACCAAGCAUCCCCAAUUAAGAACAGCAGACAUCAGCAAUAGCAACAGCACAAGUAAAACCAUAGCAAUAUAAAGCAAAAAUAAGAAAUCUAUAAGGAUUGUCACCAUUCCAACUUCAGGGAUAUCGAAAUAACGUCACAUUUGGUUUUUAGGUUAGAUUUGAGACAACCAAUUAUCUUAUUCUUUUCUAUCACUACUUCCGCACAAGUAAAACCAUAGCAAUAUAAAGCAAAAAUAAGAAAUCUAUAAGGAUUGUCACCAUUCCAACUUCAGGGAUAUCGAAAUAACGUCACAUUUGGUUUUUAGGUUAGAUUUGAGACAACCAAUUAUCUUAUUCUUUUCUAUCAUUACUUCCGCACAAGUAAAACCAUAGGAAUAUAAAGCACAAAUAAAAAUCUAAAAGGAUUAAAAAUCAAUCUCACCAUUCCAACUCCAGGGAUAUCGAAAUAACAUCAUAUUUGAUUUUCAGGUUAGAUUUGAGCCAACCAAUUAUCUUAUUCUUUUCUAUCACUACUUCCGCACAAGUAAAACCAUAGGAAUAUAAAGCACAAAUAAAAAUCUAAAAGGAUUAAAAAUCAAUCUCACCAUUCCAACUCCAGGGAUAUCGAAAUAACAUCAUAUUUGAUUUUCAGGUUAGAUUUGAGCCAACCAAUUAUCUUAUUCUUUUCUAUCACUACUUCCGCACAAGUAAAACCAUAGGAAUAUAAAGCACAAAUAAAAAUCUAAAAGGAUUAAAAAUCAAUCUCACCAUUCCAACUCCAGGGAUAUCGAAAUAACAUCAUAUUUGAUUUUCAGGUUAGAUUUGAGCCAACCAAUUAUCUUAUUCUUUUCUAUCACUACUUCCGCACAAGUAAAACCAUAGCAAUAUAAAGCAAAAAUAAAAAAUUUAUAAGAAUUAACAAUCAAUCUCACCAUCCCAACUCCAAAGAUAUCGAAAUAGCAUCACAUUUGAUUUUCAAGUUAGAUUUGAGCCAACCAAUUAUCUUAUUAUUUUCUAUCACUACUUCCGCACAAGUAAAACAAUAGCAAUAUAAAGCACAAAUAAGAAAUCUAUAAGCAUUAAGAAUCAAUCUCACCAUUCCAACUCCAGGGAUAUCGAAAUACCAUCACAUUUGAUUUUCAAGUAAGAUUUGAGGCAACCAAUUAUCUUAUUACUUUCUAGCACUACUUCCGCACAAGUAAAACUAUAGCAAUAUAAAGCACAAAUAAGAAAUCUAUAAGCAUUAAGAAUCAAUCUCACCAUUCCAACUCCAGGGAUAUCGAAAUAACAUCACAUUUGAUUUUAAGGUUAGAUUUGAGCCAACCAAUUAUCUUAUUCUUUUCUAUCACUACUUCCGCACAAGUAAAACCAUAGCAAUAUACAGCACAAAUAAAAAUCUAUUAGGAUUAACAAUCAAUCUCACCAUUCCAACUCCAGGGAUAUCGAAAUAACAUCACAUUUGAUUUUCAGGUUAGAUUUGAGCCAACUAUUUAUCUUAUUCUUUUCUAUCACUACUUCUGCACAAGUAAAACCAUAGCAAUAUAAAGCAAAAAUAAAAAAUUUAUAAGGAUUAAUAAUCAAUCUCACCAUUCCAACUUCAGGGAUAUCGAAAUAACAUCACAUUUGAUUUUCAGGUUAGAUUUGAGCCAACUAUUUAUCUUAUUCUUUUCUAUCACUACUUCUGCACAAGUAAAACCAUAGCAAUACAUCAGCAAUAGCAACAGCACAAGUAAAACCAUAGCAAUAUAAAGCAAAAAUAAGAAAUCUAUAAGGAUUAACAAUCAAUCUCACCAUUCCAACAUCAGGGAUAUCGAAAUAACAUCACAUUUGAUUUUCAGGUAAGAUUUGAGCCCACCAAUUAUCUUAUUCUUUUCUAUCACUAUUUCCGCACAAGUAAAAUCAUAGCAAUCUAAAGCAAAAAUAAGAAAUCUAUAAGGAUUAACAAUCAAUCUCACCAUUCCAACUCCAGGGAUAUCGAAAUAACAUCACAUUUGAUUUUCAUGUUAGAUUUGAGCCAACCAAUUAUCUUAUUAUUUUCUAUCACUACUUCCGUAUAAGUAAAACCAUAACAAUAUAAAGAAAAAAUAAGAAAUCUAUAAGGAUUAACAAUCAAUCUAACCAUUCAAACUCCAGGGAUAUCGAAAUAACAUCACAUUACAUCAAUAGAAGAUGAAUAACAAAGCGUGCAAGAAGAUAAAGUUCUAUAUUGUAACGUACAUUGACAUAAAAGAUCAAAUCAGACCCAUAUAGGAAGAUGAAGAAGACGAAUUAGAAGAAGAAGAAGAACCUACCCAUAAAAUGUCUGAGGAUUGGCCCAACGCGUUCGACUCCUCUCCAAGAACUUGCGGCAAUGUCAUGCGAAUUAGGGUUUUAGAAGGAGCAAUGUCGUGCGAAUUACGCUUUCGACUCCUCAUAUUUCUUCACAUUUCUUCACAAAAGUAAAAAAAAAAAAAUCUUACAAUUUCUUAAGAAGAGCCACAGACAACUGAAAAUCCUUCUAAAACUGAAGUACCCCUACACCUUGUCCUAUCCACCAAUUUAUCCACCAAUCACAUAUGUAAAAAACCAUUAAAGAUCUAUCAGGCAAUCAUAAAUAAAAAUAAAAUGACGUAACAAACAGAAAAAUAAAUACCUGGAUCAACCUCCACAUUUUUAUAAAGGUACAAAAUCCAGGAUCCUAUUAUCAGAAUAAAUGUCCCAACACCAACACCGAGAAGGUAUACUACCAAGUCAUACUGUCCCAAGUCUUCCUUCCAAACUUCUACCGGAUCUGUAAUAGCCACUUGAAAAAAAGAAGCAACGGCAUACAACAGGAGAGAGUAAAAAUGGUUGCGUUUUACUGCAUUUGAAUCCACCGAGUCACCGUCGUUAAAGUAGGUGCGCACUAAACCAGCGGUGACGAUUGCCGAGCACACGUGUGCCAUCAACUCACCAAAAUAGCGUCCUUUCUCAGAAACCCCCAACAAAAAAAAGAAAGUACUAUGAAAAUAUGAAUGGUUGAAACGACGGAAGUAACAAUGCACAACAGUAAGAGAUGGAUCUUGGAGUCGGAGUGUGUGGCGGGAGCAUGCUGAAACUCAAUUACAGAAGCUUUAACAAAAAGGAGAAGAUUCAAUAUUCAAACAGUAAUAUCCGAAAAAGCAAGAACUACAUCCGUGCACACAACAGACCAGGUAAAAAAGUUUCGUAAACAGAUUGAAAACCAAGUAUCCCCAAUUAAGAACAGCAAACAUCAGCAAGUAAAACCAUAGCAAUAUAAAGCAAAAAUAAGAAAUCUAUAAGGAUUGUCACCAUUCAAACUUCAGGGAUAUCGAAAUAACGUCACAUUUGAUUUUUAGGAUAGAAUUGAGCCAACCAAUUAUCUUAUUCUUUUCUAUCACUACUUCCGCACAAGUAAAACCAUAGCAAUAUAAAGCUAAAAUAAGAAAUUUAUAAGAAUUAACAAUCAAUCUCACCAUCCCAACUCCAGAGAUAUCGAAAUAGCAUCACAUUUGAUUUUCAAGUUAGAUUUGAGCCAACCAAUUAUCUUAUUCUUUUCUAUCACUACUUCCGCACAAGUAAAACCAUAGCAAUAUAAAGCACAAAUAAGAAAUCUAUAAGCAUUAACAAUCAAUCUCACCAUUCUAACAACAGGAAUAUCGAAAUACCAUCACAUUGGAUUUUCAAGUUAGAUUUGAGCCAACCAAUUAUCUUAUUACUUUCUAUCACUACUUCCGCACAAGUAAAACCAUAGCAAUAUAAAGCACAAAUAAGAAAUCUAUAAGCAUUAAGAAUCAAUCUCACCAUUCCAACUCCAGGGAUAUCGAAAUACUAUCACAUUUGAUUUUCAAGUUAAAUUUGAGCCAACCAAUUAUCUUAUUCUUUUCUAUCACUACUUCCGCAUAAGUAAAACCAUAGCAAUAUAAAGCACAAAUAAAAAUCUAAAAGGAUUAAAAUUCAAUCUCACCAUUCCAACUCCAGGGAUAUCGAAAUAACAUCACAUUUGAUUUUCAGGUUAGAUUUGAGCCAACCAAUUAUCUUAUUCUUUUCUAUCACUACAUCCGCACAAGUAAAACCAUAUCAAUAUAAAGUAAAAAUAAGAAAACUAUAAGGAUUAACAAUCAAUCUCACCAUUCCAACUCCAGGGAUAUCGAAAUAACAUCAAAUUUGAUUUUUAGGUUAGAUUUGAGCCAACCAAUUAUCUUAUUAUUUUCUAUCACUGCUUCCGCAUAAGUAAAACCAUAGCAAUAUAAAGCAAAAAUAAGAAAUCUAUAAGAAUUAACAAUCAAUCUCAUCAUUCAAACUCCAGGGAUAUCGAAAUAACAUCACAUUGCAUCAAUAGAAAAUGAAGAACAAAGCGUGCAAGAAGAUGAAGUUCUAUAUUGUAACGUACAUUGACAUAAAAGAUCAAAUUAGACCCAUAUAGGAAGAUGAAGAAGAUGAAUUAGAAGAAGAUGAAGAACCUACCCAUAAAAUGUCUGAGGAUUGGCCCAACGCGUUCGACUCCUCUCCAAGAACUUGCGGCAAUGUUUUGCGAAUUAGGGUUUUAGAGGGAGCAAUGUCGUGCGAAUUACGCUUUCGACUCCUCAUAUUUCUUCACAUUUCUUUACAAAAGUAAAAAAAAAAAAAAUCUUACAAUUUCUUAAGAAGAGCCACAGACAACUGAAAAUCCUUCUGAAACUGAAGUACCCCUACACCUUGUCCUAUCCACCAAUUUAUCCACCAAUCAUAUAUGUAAAAAACCAUUAAAGAUCUAUCAGGCAAUCAUAAAUAAAAAUAAAAUGAAGUAAUAAACAGAAAAAUAAAUACCUGGAACAACCUCCACAUUUUUAUAAAGGCACAAAAUCUAGUAUCUAUCAUCAGAUUAAAUGUCCCAACACCAACACCGACUAGGAAUACUACCCAGUCAUACUGUCCCAAGUCUUCCUUCCAAACUUUUACCGGGUCUGUAAUAGCCACUUGAAAAAAAGAUGCAACGGCAUACAACAGGAGAGAGUAAAAAUGGUUGCGUUUUACUGCAUUCGAAUCCACCGGGUCACCGUCGUUAAAGCUGGUGGGUACUAAACCAGCGGUGACGAUUGCCGAGCACACGUGUGCCAUCAACUCACCAAAAUAGCGUCCUUUCUCAUAGACCCCCAACAAAAAAAAGAAAGUACUAUGAAAAUAUGAAUGGUUGAAACGAUGGAAGUAACAAUGCACAACAGUAAGAGAUGGAUCUUGGAGUCGGAGUGUGUGGCGGGAGCAUGCUGAAACUCCAUUACAGAAGCUUUAACAAAAGGGAGAAGAUUCAAUAUUCAAACAGUAAUAUCCCAAAAACCAAGAACUAUAUCCGAGCACACAACAGACCAGGUAAAAAAGUUUCGCAAACAGAUUGAAAACCAAGCAUCGCCAAUUAAGAACAGCAAACAUCAGCAAUAGCAACAGCACAAGUAAAACCAUAGCAAUAUAAAGCAAAAAUAAGAAAUCUAUAAGGAUUGUCACCAUUCCAACUUCAGGGACAUCGAAAUAACGUCACAUUUGAUUUUUAGGCUAGAUUUGAGCCAACCAAUUAUCUUAUUCUUUUCUAUCACUACUUCCGCACAAGUAAAAUCAUAGCAAUAUAAAGCAAAAAUAAGAAAUUUAUAAGAAUUAACAAUCAAUCUCACGAUCCCAACUCCAGAGAUAUCGAAAUAGCAUCACAUUUGGUUUUCAAGUUAGAUUUGAGCCAACCAAUUAUCUUAUUAUUUUCUAUCACUACUUCCGCACAAGUAAAACCAUAGCAAUAUAAAGCAGAAAUAAGAAAUCUAUAAGGAUUAACAAUCAAUCUCACCAUUCCAACUUCAGGGAUAUAGAAAUACCAUCACAUUUGAUUUUCAAGUUAGAUUUGAGCCAACCAAUUAUCUUAUUAUUUUCUAUCACUACUUCCGCACAACCAAAACCAUAGCAAUAUAAAGCACAAAUAAGAAAUUUAUAAGUAUUAAGAAUCAAUCUCACCAUUCCAAUUCCAGAGAUAUCGAAAUAUAUCACAUUUGAUUUUCAAGUUAGAUUUGAGCCAACCAAUUAUCUUAUUCUUUUCUAUCACUACUUCCGCACAAGUAAAACCAUAGCAAUAUAAAACACAAAUAAGAAAUCUAUAAGGAUUAACAAUCAAUCUCACCAUUCCAACUCCAGGGAUAUCGAAAUAACAUCACAUUUGAUUUUCAGGUUAGAUUUGAGCCAACCAAUUAUCUUAUUCCUUUCUAUCACUGCUUCUGCACAAGUAAAAUCAUAGCAAUAUAAAGCAAAAAUAAGAAAUCUAUAAGGAUUAACAAUCAAUCUCACCAUUCCAACUCUAGGGAUAUCGAAAUAACAUCAUAUUGCAUCAAUAGAAGAUGAAGAACAAAACAUGCAAGAAGAUGAAGUUCUAUAUUGCAACGUACAUUGACAUAAAAGAUGAAAUCAGACCCAUAUAGGAAGAUGAAGAAGAUGAAUUAGAAGAAGAUGAAGAACCUACCCAUAAAAUGUCUGAGGAUUGGCCCAAUGUUUUCGACUCCUCUCCAAGAACUUGCUGCAAUGUCGUGCGAAUUAGGAUUUUAGAGGGAGCAAUAUCGUGCGAAUUACGCUUUCGACUCCUCAUAUUUCUUCACAUUUCUUCACAAAAGUAAAAAAAAAAAAAAAUCUUACAAUUUUUAAGAAGAGCCACAGACAACUGAAAAUCCUUUUGAAACUGAAGUACCCCUACACCUUGUCCUAUCCACCAAUUUAUCCACCAAUCUCAUCUGUAAAAAACUAUUAAAGAUCUAUCAGGCAAUCAUAAAUAAAAACAAAAUAAAGUAACAAACAGAAAAAUAAAUACCUGGUUCAACCUCCACAUUUUUAUAGAGGCACAAAAUCCAGGAUCCUAUCAUCAGAAUAAAAGUCCCAACACCAACACCGACUAGGAAUACUACCCAGUCAUACUGUCCCAAGUCUUCCUUCCAAACUUCUACCGAGUCUGUAAUAGCCACUUGAAAAAAAGAUGCAACGACAUACAACAGGAGAGAGUAAAAAUGGUUGCGUUUUACUGCAUUUGAAUCCACCGGGUCACCGUCGUUAAAGCAGGUGCGUACUAAACCAGCGGUGACGAUUGCCGAGCACACGUGUGUCAUCAACUUACCAAAAUAGCGUCCUUUCUCAGAGACCCCCAACAAAAAAAAAGGAAGUACUAUAGAAAUAUGAAUGGUUGAAACGACGGAAGUAACAAUGCACAACAGUAAGAGAUGGAUCUUGGAGUCGGAGUGUGUGGCGGGAGCAUGUUGAAACUCCAUUAAAGAAGCUAUAACAAAAGGGAGAAGAUUCAAUAUUCAAACAGUAAUAUCCCAAAAACCAAGAACUACAUCCGUGCACACAACAGACCAGGUAAAAAAGUUUCGCAAAUAGAUUGAAAACCAAGCAUCCCUAUUUAAGAACAGCAAACAUCAGCAAUAGCAAAGCACAAGUAAAACCAUAGCAAUAUAAAGCAAAAAUAAGAAAUCUAUAAGGAUUAACAAUCAAUCUCACCAUUUCAACAUCGGGGAUAUCGAAAUAACAUCACAUUUGAUUUUCAGGUAAGAUUUGAGCCAACCAAUUAUCUUAUUCUUUUCUAUCACUACAACAGCACAAGUAAAACCAUAGCAAUAUAAAGCAAAAAUAAGAAAUCUAUAAGGAUUAACAAUCAAUCUCACCAUUUCAACAUCGGGGAUAUCGAAAUAACAUCACAUUUGAUUUUCAGGUAAGAUUUGAGCCAACCAAUUAUCUUAUUCUUUUCUAUCACUACAUCCGCACAAGUAAAACCAUAGCAAUAUAAAGCAAAAAUAAGAAAUCUAUAAGGAUUAACAAUCAAUCUCACCAUUCCAACUCCAGGGAUAUCGAAAUAACAUCACAUUUGAUUUUCAGGUUAGAUUUGAGCCAACCAAUUAUCUUAUUAUUUUCUAUCACUACUUCCGCAUAAGUAAAGCCAUAACAAUAUAAAGCAAAAAUAAGAAAUCUAUAAGGAUUAACAAUCAAUCUAACCAUUCAAACUCCAGGGAUAUCGGAAUAACAUCACAUUGCAUCAAUAGAAGAUGAAGAACAAAGCGUGUAAGAAGAUGAAGUUCUAUAUUGUAACGUACAUUGACAUAAAAGAUCAAAUCAGACCCAUAUAGGAAGAUGAAGAAGAUGAAUUAGAAGAAGAAGAAGAACCUACCCAUAAAAUGUCUGAGGAUUGGCCCAACGCGUUCGACUCCUCUCCAAGAACUUGCGGCAAUGUCGUGCGAAUUAGGGUUUUAGAGGGAGCAAUGUCGUGCGAAUUACGUUUUCGACUCCUCAUAUUUCUUCACAUUUCUUCACAAAAGUAAAAAAAAAAAAAAAUCUUACAAUUUUUAAGAAGAGCCACAGACAACUGAAAAUCCUUUUGAAACUGAAGUACCCCUACACCUUGUCCUAUCCACCAAUUUAUCCACCAAUCUCAUCUGUAAAAAACUAUUAAAGAUCUAUCAGGCAAUCAUAAAUAAAAACAAAAUAAAGUAACAAACAGAAAAAUAAAUACCUGGUUCAACCUCCACAUUUUUAUAGAGGCACAAAAUCCAGGAUCCUAUCAUCAGAAUAAAAGUCCCAACACCAACACCGACUAGGAAUACUACCCAGUCAUACUGUCCCAAGUCUUCCUUCCAAACUUCUACCGAGUCUGUAAUAGCCACUUGAAAAAAAGAUGCAACGACAUACAACAGGAGAGAGUAAAAAUGGUUGCGUUUUACUGCAUUUGAAUCCACCGGGUCACCGUCGUUAAAGCAGGUGCGUACUAAACCAGCGGUGACGAUUGCCGAGCACACGUGUGUCAUCAACUUACCAAAAUAGCGUCCUUUCUCAGAGACCCCCAACAAAAAAAAAGGAAGUACUAUAGAAAUAUGAAUGGUUGAAACGACGGAAGUAACAAUGCACAACAGUAAGAGAUGGAUCUUGGAGUCGGAGUGUGUGGCGGGAGCAUGUUGAAACUCCAUUAAAGAAGCUAUAACAAAAGGGAGAAGAUUCAAUAUUCAAACAGUAAUAUCCCAAAAACCAAGAACUAUAUCCGAGCACACAACAGACCAGGUAAAAAAGUUUCGCAAACAGAUUGAAAACCAAGCAUCCCCAUUUAAGAACAACAAACAUCAGCAAUAGCAACAGCACAAGUAAAUCCAUAGCAAUAUAAAGUAAAAAUAAGAAAUCAAUAAUAACAAUCAAUCUCACCAUUUCAACUUCAGGGAUAUCGAAAUAACAUCACAUUUGAUUUUCAAGUUAGAUUUGAGCCAACCAAUUAUCUUAUUCUUUUCUAUCACUACUUCCGCACAAGUAAACCAUAGCAAUAUAAAGCAAAAAUAAGAAAUCUAUAAGGAUUGUCACCAUUCCAACUUCAGGGACAUCGAAAUAACGUCACAUUUGAUUUUUAGGCUAGAUUUGAGCCAACCAAUUAUCUUAUUCUUUUCUAUCACUACUUCCGCACAAGUAAACCAUAGCAAUAUAAAGCAAAAAUAAGAAAUCUAUAAGGACCUAAUCAAUCUAACCAUGUCAAUACUCCAGGAGAUAUCGAAUAACAUCACAAAUUGCAUCAGAUAGUAAAGAUGAACGAACAAAGCGUGUAGAAAUAAACGUUCUAUAUUGUAUAGUCACAUUGACAUAAAAGAUUCAAAUCAGACCCAUAUAGGAAGAUGAAGAAGAUGAAUUAGAAAAGAAGAAGAUACCCUAGCCCAUAAAAAUGUCUGAGGAUUGGCCCAUACGCGUUCGACUCCUCUCCAAGAACUUGCGGGCAAUGUCGUGCGAAUGUAGGUUUCAGAGGGAGCAAUGUCGUGGCGAGAUUAACGUUUCGCCGUCCUCAUAUUUGUCAUUCACAUUUCUUCAGAAAAGUAAAAAAAGAGAAGAAAAACUUACAUUUUUAAGAAGAGCAACAUAAACCCCAAGACAAACUGAAAAUCCUUUUGAAACUGAAGUACCCUACACCUUGUCCUAUCCACCAAUUUAUGCCACCAAUCUCAUCUGUAAAAACUAUUAAAGAUCUAUCAGGCAAUCCAUAAUUAAAAACAAAAUAAGUAACAAACUGAAAAACUAAUACCUGGUCAACGCUCCACAUUUUAUAGAGGCACAAAAUCCAGGAUCCUAUCAAUCAGAAUAAAUCCAACACCAACACCGACAGGAAUACUACCCAGUCAUACUGCCAAGUCUUCUUUCAAACUUCUACGCGAUGGUCUGUAUAGCCACUUGAAAAAAAGAUAGCCACACAAUACAACAGAGAGUAGUAAAAUGGUUGCGUUUUAUGCAUUUGAAUCACCGGUCACCGUGUUAAAGCAGGUGCGUACUUAAACCGGGUGCGCGAUUGCCGAGCAACGUGUGUCAUCAACUUACAAAUGAGCGUCCUUUCUCAGAGACCGCCAACAAAAAAAAGAAGUACUAUAAGAAAUAUGAAGUGGUUGAACGACGAGAAUGUAAAAUGCACAACAGUAAAUGAGAUGGGACUUGGAGUCGGAUGUUUGGCGGGCAUGUUGAAAAACUAUUAAAGAAGCUAGUAACAAAAGGGAGAAGAUUCAAUAUAUUCAAAACAGUAAUAUCCCCAACAAACCAAAGAACUACAUCCGUGACACAAUAGACCAGGUAAAAAAGUUCCGCAAACAGAUGAAAACCCAAGCAUCCCCAAUAAAGAACAGCACAUAGCCAAUAGCAAACAGCACAAGUAAACCAUAGCAAUAUAAAGCAAAAAUAAGAAAUCUAUGAAGAAUUAACAAUCAAUCUCACCAUUUCAAACAUCGGGAUAUCGAAAUAACAUCACAUUGGAUUUUCAGGUAAAGAUUUGACCAACAAUUAUCUUAUUCUUUCUAUCACUACAUCUCGACAAGUAAAACCAUAGCAUAUAUAAAGAGGCAAAAUUAAGAAAUCUAAUAAGGAUUAAAAUCAAUCUCACCAUUCCAACUCGCAGGAUAUAAAAAUCACAUUUGAUUUUCAGGUUAGAUUGUGAGCCAACACAUUUACAGUUUAAUAUUUUCUAUCACUACUUCCGCCUUAAGUAAAGCCAUAACAAUAUAAAGCAAAAAUAAGAGAAUACUAUAAGGAUUAUACAAUCAAUCUAAACCAUUCAAACUCGAGGGCUAUAUUCGGAAUAGACAUCACAUGGGCAUCAAUAGAAGAUGAAGACAAAGCGUGUAAGAAGAUGAGUUCUAUAUUGUAACGUACUUGACAUAAAGAUCAAUCAGACCCAUAUAGGAAUGAUGACAGAAGAUGAUUUAGAAGAAGAAGAAGAACGCUACGCCAUAAAGUCUGAGGAUUGGCCCAACGCGUUCGACUCCUUCCAGAAACUUGCGCAAUGUCGUGCGAUGGGUUUGAGAGGAGCAUAAUGUCGUUGCGAAUUACGUUUUCGACUCCUGAUUUUCUUCACCAUUUCUUCACAAAAAGUAAAAAAAAAAAAAAUUUUCAAUUUCUGUAAAAGAGCCUACAGACAACUGAAAAUCCUUACUAGAACUCUGAAAUACCUCUACACCUUGACCUAUCACCAAUUUUGAUCCACCAAUCACAUAUGUAAAAAACCAAUUAAAGAAUCGUAUCAUGGCACUCAUAAUAAAAACAAAAUAAAGUUAACAAACUGAAAAAUAAAUACCUGGACAACCUCCACGAUUUUUAUAAAAGCACACAUUCAGGAUCCCUAUCAUCAGAAUAAAUGUCGAACACCAACACUCUCCGGUGUACUAGGAAUACUACCAGUCGCAUAUGUCCCAAGUUCUCCUUCCAAAUUUCUACCGGGUCUGUAAUAGCCACCUUGAAAAAAAAAUGCAACCGGUAAGCAUAUAACACGAGAGAGUAAAAAUUGUUGGUUUAACUCGCAUUGAAUCACCGGUCACCGUCAUUAAAGGAGGGUGUUUUAAACGCUAGCGGUGACGAUUUGGAGCAUUACUGUCCGCCAUCAACCACUCAAAAUGCGUCCUUUUCUCCAAAUACCCCAACAAGAACAAAGAAAGUACUAUGGAAAAUGAAUGGUUGAAGCGACGGCAAGUUAACAUUGCAAACAGUAAGAAGAAUGGAUCUUGGAGUCGGAGUGGUGGGCGGAGCAUGCUAAAAGCUCCAUUAGCAGAAGUUUUUAACAAAAGUAGAAAUUCAAUAUUCAAAAGUAAUAUCCAAAAACAAAAUACCUUCGUGCACAACAAUAGACCAGGUUAAAAAGUUCCGCAAACAAUUGAAAACCAAGCAUUCCCCAAUUAAGAACGCAAACACAGCGAAUAGCAACAGGCACAAGAAUACCAUACAGUGAUAUAAAGCAAAAAAAAUAAAGAAAUUAUAAGGAGUUAACAAUCAAUCUCACCUAUCAACUUAGGGAUGAUCGAAAUAUACGUCAUAUUUGCAUUUUUCAGUAGAUUUGAGUCCAACCAAUUAUCUUAUUCUUUUUUUUCACUACUUCGACCGACUAAGUAAAAUCAUAGCAAUAUAAGAAAAAUAAGAAUCACAAGGAUCAAUCAAUACAUGCAUUCAACCAAGAAGAUAUUUUGAAGUAACAUCACAUUUGAUUUUCAAGUUAGAUUUGAGCCAACCAAUUAUCUUAUUCUUUUCUUUCACUACUUCCGCACAAGUAAAACCAUAGCAAUAUAAAGCACAAAUAAGAAAUCUAUAAGCAUUAACAAUCAAUCUCACCAUUACAACUCCAGGGAUAUCGAAAUAACAUCACAUUUGAUUUUCAAGUUAGAUUUGAGCCAACCAAUUAUCUUAUUCUUUUCUAUCACUACUUCUGCACAAGUAAAGCUAUAGCAAUAUAAAGCAUAAAUAAGAAAUCUAUAAGUAUUAACAAUCAAUCUCACCAUUCCAACUCCAGGGAUAUCGAAAUAUCAUCACUUUUGAUUUUCAAGUUAUAUUUGAGCUAACCAAUUAUCUUAUUCUUUUCUAUCACCACUUCCGUACAAGUAAACCAUAGCAAUAUAAAGCACAAAUAAGAAAUCUAUAAGGAUUAACAAUCAAUCUCACCAUUCCAUCUCCAGAGAUAUCGAAAUAACAUCACAUUUGAUUUUCAAGUUUGAUUUGAGCCAACCAAUUAUCUUAUUUUUUUCUAUCACUACUUCCGCACAAGUAAAACCAUAGCAAUAAACCAUAGCAAUAUAAAGCAAAAAUAAGAAAUCUAUAAGGAUUAACAAUCAAUCUCACCAUUCCAACUCCAGGGAUAUCGAAAUAACAUCAAAUUUGAUUUUCAGGUUAGAUUUUGAGCGAACCAAUUAUCUUAUUCUUUUCUAUCACUACUUCCGCACAAGUAAAAUCUUAGCAAUAUAAAGCAAAAAUAAGAAAUCUAUAAGUAUUAACAAUCAAUCUCACCAUUCCAACUCCAGGGAUAUCGAAAUAAUAUCAUAUUUGAUUUUCAGAUUAGAUUUGAGCCAACCAAUUAUCUUAUUCUUUUCUAUCACUGCUUCCGCACAAGUAAAACCAUAGCAAUAUAAAGCAAAAAUAAAAAAUCUAUAAGGAUUAACAAUCAAUCUAACCAUUCAAACUCCAGGGAUAUCGGAAUAACAUCACAUUGCAUCAAUAGAAGAUGAAGAACAAAGCGUGUAAGAAGAUGAAGUUCUAUAUUGUAACGUACAUUGACAUAAAAGAUCACAUCAGACCCAUAUAGGAAGAUGAAGAAGAUGAAUUAGAAGAAGAUGAAGAACCUACCCAUAAAAUGUCUGAGGAUUGGCCCAACGCUUUCGACUCCUUUCCAAGAACUUGCGGCAAUGUCGUGCGAAUUAGGGUUUUAGAGGGAGCGAGAGGGAAGGAGAGGACGAAAAGGAGGGGAAAAAAAUGAAUCGGAAAGAAAAUACUCUCUCUCUCUCUCUAUAUAUAUGGGGUUAUUGAAAGUUAAAAUUUAAAAUGAUAGUUUUGAAAUGAAAGUUUUGAAACCAAAAUUUAAAUUUAAAAUCUGAAUUCAAAUUUAAAAUCAUAUUCAAAAUUUUGAUUUUAAAUUUUAAAUUUGAAUUCAAAAUUUAAAUUUGAAUUUAAGAUUUGAUUUCAAUUCUAAAUUUGAAUUUAAACUUAGAAUUCAAAUUCACAUUUUGAAUUUGAAAUUUCAAAUCGAAGUUUGAAAUUAAAUUAGAAUUUAGAAUUCCAAAUGUGAAUUUGAAUUAAAAAUUAAAAAUUAAAAAUUAAAUACAAAAUCGAAAUUUGAAUUCUAAUUUAAAUUUGAAUCCAAAAUCAAAAUUUAAAUUUAAAAUUUAAAUCUUAAAUUAAUUUUUUUGAAUUUAUAAAUUUAAUGGGAUAAUUACACCAUUGGUCCUCAACUUUUGCAUCAUUUUUCAAUUUGGUCCCCAAUUUUUUUUUUUUGCAAUCCGCUGGCAUAGUACCACCGUGGCGCUGACACGACGCCUUCGUGGCGCUGACAUGGCACCUCUGUGGCAAUGACAUGGUGCUGAUGUGGCGUUUUCCGCCAAUUUUAACAGCUAUAUAUCUAACGGCUGGGACUUAAUUGAAAUGAAAUCAAAAGAUUAGGGACUUGGUUGCAAAAAAAAAAGGUUGGGGACCAAAUUGAAAAAUAGUGGGCUUCCCGCCCCGAAUCCGUGACGGGUUAAAAAAUAUAUCCCAUAAUUCGCCCCCCCUCGUAACCCGCCUCCCGCCGGCGCCUCGAAUCCGCCCUGUCAACUAAUAUUUUUUAUAAAGUUAUAAUAUUAUUAAUAUUUUAUAAAUUAUAAAUUAAUAAUUUUUAAUAAUAUUAUAUAUAUAAUUUAACAAUAUCAAUUAUAAAAUCAAAAAUAUCAAUCACAAUUCAAAACAAAAUUUAUUUCAAAUACAUUAAAAAUGAGAGUACAUUAUUUGUAUUUUGAAAAUUUUUUAUACAUACAUGAUUUUUUAGGAAUAUUUUUUUAAAAUAUAAAUGAUUUUCGGUGCGGAUUCAGGACGGAUCAUGGCGGGGCGGAUUCGGGGCAGGUCAAAAUUUCUCCCGUUUCCCGCCCCGAAUUCGUCUCGGAUCGUAAAAUUUAUCUCGUUUCCCGCUUCGAAUUCGUUUAUUUUCUCCUAUUUACUGCCCCCGUCGGGGCGAGAGCUCUACCAACCCGGAUUCAUUUGCAUCCCUACACACGGGGGUACCAGUACUCCUUUUUGGUACCGGUACUCAAUAUUGAAAUCCUACACUUUGCAGAUUUCAGUGUCAGAACUCCACUCUCGCACUGUACUGAGUCCUUUUUACGUCCAUUUCGAGCCAAAACGACUCAGACUUAUCUCAACACUCACCAGACGUGCCGACAAGCGCCAGAUGCUGUAAUUACACCGACCGCUAAACACCAGGGACACUACAUCCUCCCCCACUAUAAAAAGUUUCGUCCUUGAAGCUUAAAAUCAUACCUCAACACACGGUCUCAAACAAAUAGGGGUAGGACUCCUGUAUCACAGCCUCCGGCUCCCACGUCGCCUCACGCUCCUUGUGAUUACUCCAGUAUACCUUCACAUACGGUAUGACUCGGUUGCGCAAUUGUUUCGUCUCUCGAGCAAGAAUCCGCACCGGUCGCUCCUCGUACCUCAAGUCUUCGCCAUGCUCAAGUGGAGUGAAGUCAAUCACGUGUGAGGGAUUAAACACAUAUCUUCUCAAUGCUGAGACAUGGAAUACGUCGUGGAUACCGGCAAGUCGCGGUGGAAGUGCAAUCUUGUAAGCCACUGGCCCGACUGGCUCCAAACCUCGAAAGGGCCAACAAAUCGUGGAGUAAGCUUUCCACGAAUCCCAAAUCUGGGAAUCCCUCGGGACGUCGAGACUUUCUGGAACACAUGAUCACCAACCUGAAACUCCAAAUCUCGUUUCCUGAUAUCAGCAUAGCUCCUCUGUCGACUCUGGACGAUCUUAAGAUGUUGUCGCACAACUCUGACCUUCUUUUCUGCCUCCAACAGAAUCUGUCACGCCCCGCCCCGAAACCGCUACCAAUUUGGCACGGUUCGGGUGCGCCGGACUGUAACGACCCAGCCCACUAGCAACAAUAACUCGUUGGGCCCAACCACCGGCCCAAAAUGCUUAAGCCCAGUUAUUAUUACUAGUGUCUAAGUCUCUUAUAAACCCAAUAACAACCCCAUUCCCAUCCGAUGUGGGAUUAUUGGGGUGUCACAGACUCCCCCCGUUAAGGCCCUGACGUCCUCGUCAGUCCAAUCACACAUACAGCCCAAGAUCACUAGGCAAUGUGAGACUCGUCUCUCUAGCCCGUCAUCCAGACCCUGGCUCAGCCGAGACUCGCCACACAUGUCCAGCAGGUGAACCUGCUCUGAAUACCAAAUGUAACGACCCAGCCCACUAGCAACAAUAACUCGUUGGGCCCAACCACCGGCCCAAAAUGCUUAAGCCUAGUUAUUAUUACUAGUGUCUAAGUCUCUUAUAAACCCAAUGACAACCCCAUUUCCAUCCGAUGUGGGAUUAUUGGGGUGUCACACGGACGGACGCCGAGCGGACAGGGGAGGUCCUGUCCGCCCAAGGCUUAAA
rnacentral:lncRNA from 1 species